UCAAUCAUACACGAGUUAAAUAUUUGGUUAAUGGCUUUAUAUAAUGUAUUAAUGUUGGUGCCAAAUGAUGUAUACAGGUUGUCUUUUUUGGCUUGAUUUGUCUUUCCUCACUUUCUCUCACAAACAAUCGAGAAGGUGGCUGUUUGCAAAAAAAAAAAAAAAAAAAAAAAUAUCGAGAAGGUGGCUUUAAUAAAAAAAAUUAAGAAAAAGGUUCACGGAUUACAUAAAACGUAUGAAAGAGACGACUAUGCUUGGUGAUAAUUAAGUAUGAGAAGGAGAGUGAUUAGCGCAGACCCGUUGAAUAACAGAUAGAGAGAAAAACUGGAACUUAGGUAAAAAGUCUUAGUUAUUUGGUAAUUACUCCCAAUAUUCCUCGUACCAACUACACACAGACACAGCCCUACGUACAUAUAUGUCAAAUUAACUCGUACUGAGUUCAAACAUCUUGACCUCUGUUUUGGGAUGCUAAUUAACUUUGUUAAUCUUAGUCAAAUAAUUUAUAUUACUAUCUAACUGCGUGAUAAGGUCAAAAUACGGUAAUUAAUACUGCGUAACAUAGAAUAGAAUGACAGCUCUGUACCGAAUACCUAACCUAUGAUUAAAAACUAAAAUAUUCUACGUUUGCGUGUUUGAGUCUCGGUCAAAUCGCUCAUGCCCUUUGCCAUCAGUUUUCAAAACUAUAUAUUAUAUUUAUGGGUUGGGGUUAUUAAAAUGUUUUAAAGCACGUUUAUUAACUAAUUACAAAGUAACGAAUAAUGUAGUAGUAUGUUUAUUACUUUACUCGAUAUUUAGUAAACGAAUCUUAUAUGGGAGAAAUAAGGGCCAGGAUUGUCGCCAAAACAAAAUUUGAAAAAAAAAAGAAAUAUUCUUAGUGAGGAUUAGCUGUGUAAUUAAAUAGUAAAAUAUGAUUUGAUAAAAUAAUGUCAGUAAUGAUGAGUGUUAACUAAUAAGACACUCCACCACUACCACCAGCUCAUAACUCUCGGAAGAUUCCCCGCGGACGGGUUCCCUCACCUCACCCUGUCUCGAUUCUUUCGAGUCAUUAAUAAUAUAAGACUUUUUUUUACUCUGUCCGAAACCGUUGCUGUUCACGUGGUGUACAGAGAUGGCUGGCUGAUAGCCAAAAUUAGUGAUUUUAAGAUUUUGAGAUUUUGGGCCCAAAUAGAAGAUUAUUAUUAUUCAAUUGAGGCCCAUCAAUCCAUUAAAAGCACACUGAACUCUCUGAGCAUCACUGUUGUAGCAUCUUCACUUCUUCUUCUGCCUUCGAUAAUGGCUGCUUCCGAUGAUUCCUCUCACUACUUCACCGAGUUUACCUUGUCCGAGGUCUAUUUUCUGUAUUUUCUCUUUAUUAGAUAACAGAUUCAUGAUAUGUGACCUUUUUUUUUUUUUGUGUGUGUGUGCUAUUCUUAUGCAAAGAUUGUAGACAUGGAGAAUCUGUAUAAGGAGCUUGGCGAUCAAUCUCUCCAGAAGGAUUUUUGUCAAACUGUUGCCUCCACUUUUAGGUAUUUUGUUUUUUUCUCUGAACUAGUGGAGAAUUUUUGAAGCACUUUGCUGCAUUAUAGCAGGAGUUUUAACUUUGUAUAUAUCUGUGUUCUUAUCUCUGUUUGUUUCCAUUAUUUUUGUUUCAAAGUUGUUCUCUGAAUCGGAAUGGAAAAUCAUCUGUAACCUGGAAACAGGUGCGUCUCUUAUUUCUUCAUGCAACAAGUGUAGUCCCUAUGUAACUUGUUUUUCAAUCUGAGUUAUUUCAGGUACAGAGUUGGUUCCAGGAGAAACUGAAGCAGCAAACUCUCCCCAAAUACGAUACUUUGCCAUCUUCUCCUUUGGAGAUUCUUGACUUAUCAAAUCUUAAUUUUGCUGAAAAUGCUGUGAAUGUGGAGAAGGCUACCUAUGUUCAAAGACGAAAAGGUUUGUUUCAUUUUCUUUGUAUGUAAUUCUUGGUUCUUUUAGUUAACGCCAAGGACCAUUUUUAUACACAGGAAAGGCCUCUGAUGUAUCUGAUCUGGCUUUUGAGGCUAGAUCAUCAAGGGACUUCGCUUGGUAAGAACUCUUCUUUGCUUUGAAUCAUCAUGUGUUUUUCCAUAUUCGCUUCAACUUUUGGAUUUUGCAAAUUGAACUAGUAUAUGGACAUAAAUGCGUUUGGUUGUAAACUCAAACAAGCAAUGCCCUUUACCUUAGUACAUGGCUACAUGUUCAGUGUAGACUACAACAUGUAAUAUCUGUGCUUAUUUGCUUGAAUUCUGGUCUUUCAGGUAUGACGUGUCUUCGUUCCUAACUUAUCGAUAUCUUCGCACUGGUGAACUGGUAAACUUCUUCUCUUUUGUUCAAUGCCUGAUUUGUUUGCAACUGAGAGCGGACUGCAACAGGAAGUGCGUGUACGUUUUUCUGGGUUCGACAACAGACACGAUGAGUGGGUGAAUGUCACAACAUCAGUGCGUGAGCGGUCUAUUCCUGUAGAACCAUCAGAGUGUGGUAGAGUGAAUGUUGGAGACCUGCUUCUAUGUUUCCAAGUAAGGCUCACUUUGAUCUAAUUAUGAAGGCUGGAACCUUAGCAAAUUAUAAACACGACAAUGGAAAUUUGGGGUGGUUUAUGAGCAGGAAAGGGAGGAUCAAGCAUUGUACUGUGAUGCUCAUGUUGUGAAUAUAAAGAGAGCAGACCAUGACCACUCUAUAUGUAACUGCGUGUUUCUUGUUCGCUACGAUCUUGACAAUACAGAGGUAAAAAAGCUUGAUCUCAGUCUUUAUAUUUGGUGCUGUUGCAAGAAUUCAAGAAGUCGCUUGUUAAUAUAUGAACAGGAAGCAGUGGGAGUAGAAAGAAUUUGCCGCCGCCCUGAAGAGUGAAUCUGUUUGUCAUCUUUGGAGGAUGCAGUGAACUAUGACUAGAUUAUAUAUGACUGACCAAAAGGAUGGAAUAAAAUGCUCAUCUUAAGAUCUCAUGACUCAAGGUCAUGGGAUUGUAUGUUAGUAUAUGUUUUCCAUUAUGUGGGAAUAUAAUGUAUCAGAACGCAAAUGUUAAAACCAGUUAAUCUCCUUUCUUUUGAGCAAGACUAGAUUUCCUUCCGUUACUCAUUGCUUCUUGUAUCAUAAGCAAGUCAACACAUUUUGCGAGAUUCGGGAAUUCAGGAUAAAGAUGUGCAAAAAUGCUCAUUUAGCACACAAGCUAAUUUGGAACAAAAGAUGUCUCUGUACUAACAACAAUGCGCUCUCUGUUCUCAAUUCCAGCGUAAAGAAACAUACAACAAGUAUCAGACUUUCAGUUAUGUUUUUUUUUUUCUUACAUAUCUCAUUCCAAGAUAUUCCUAUGGAAGAAUCCAUUUUCAACUUUAUAGGAAAGAAAAUUGCUCGCAAUGGAUGCAAAGCAGCAGUCCCUAUCUGUUUCUCCUAAUCAAUGUGUACUCAAUCCUUCAACACAUUGUUUAUUUGACAAACGCGAUAAGAUUUGAGCCAGAAUAAGAGAGCUAAGGAGACAUGGAAACUACCGGUUUAGCCAUCUCCUCAACCGGGAAGCCACUCCCUGAGAAGGAGGGGGAGGUGGGAUAAGAACAUCAAGAAUGGUUACUCUCUCUUUUGGAGUCAAUGGGACACCUCUUAUAAGGUUCAACGCCAUGAUGUGUACAUUUGUUCUCUGCCUGUGCUUCUGGUAAACCAACCCUGCAGCGGUACCUCCAGCAAUUAUAACCUAUCCACACACCAAACACCAGAGUCAAUUAAACUAAACUCUCCUAUGGAGGUUCCAGUUCUAAUUGAUUGCUUAACUGACCGGUGUUAGCCACAAUGCCGCGGUCUGCAAAUCAAAUUUUGGAGCAUAAAGCACCGUCUCCCCAAACUCAUCCUCAAGCUUAUUGUAGAUCUCUUUGUCAGUUUUUCCAGCUCCUAUCUCAUCACGGAUGAGCUGCAAAACUCAGAUGUAUCAGAGGAGUAGACAGCAAAACUAGACUCCACUCGUUCUUUGAAAAACAAAACUGAGUUAAAGACACACCUGUCUAAGGAGAAUAGCGAUAUCUGCCUGCGAGUCUUCAAUGGACUGACUUCCACACUCAGUACAGCGAACAUUGUGGCUGAUGUUUCUGGCCCGAGCGUCCAGCAUUUGAGCCUUCUUCCUCUCUUCGUCUGUUUUCUCCAUUGCGCUGAAAAUUUCACGAUACGAGUAUUGUUAGUUUUCACAGACGCAUUUCGUCGAACACUCUGUGGACAAGAGAGCAGAAACUACUAAGACACCCAAAAAGUACGGAAAGUUAGUUUAAUAUUGAAGGGGAGACCUGUUUGGAGAGGAAACAAGAGAGAUCGAAGAAACAGGUUAGUUCGUUCAAUCUGGAGCUCAAAAAUUAAACCUUUCGCUUGGGAAAUUCCUACGUUUACUUGCAAAAAAAAACCCUAUCGUCCUCCAGCAGUAGAAACGCCGAGACACACUUAUUCGCCAGAGCCGUUUAGAGAAGAUGCCGGUGGAUCUCCGGCGGGUGAUCAAACCGGCUCCGAAUGUGAGAUUGAGAAGGCGCGUGCAACGUGUGUCGGAAGACGAGCUUCGCGCGUGUCCGAGGGCUAAUAAACAUGGGCCCUUCAAAUUUCUUUUUUUUUGUUUGAAAUAUAAACAUGGGCCUUGUAAUUGCAUCAAACUAACUGACUAUUGUUCAAAAAAAAAAAAAAAAAAACUAACUGACUAAUGAGAAAACAAACACUCUGUAGAGUGUAGACCAAAACAAAGUGAGAAAUUUGAGAUCAAAGUAUGAAACCAUACAACCAAUCCAAGCAGGAGCAUGUAACAACAACAGUUAAGCUGUACUUGCAAAGCAAUACAAACACUGAAACACAUUCUACAAUAGAAGAAAGUGAGAUUGAAACAAAAUCACCACACUGACUACUCAUACUAAAGCUGAAUCGGUAUUGGUGCUGGGUCAGCUCUUCUUCUUCAUCACUCGUCUCUUGUACUUGGGGAGUGGAGCCAUCUGUGAAUGGAGGCUAGAGGGGUACCCUAGUAUGAGCAAAAUGGUCUAAUCUGUCUCUGAACAGAUAGGCACCCUAGUCGUAUGGAGACAUUAAAUUGCGACCUAUCUAAAUCAUUUUGCAAUGGAGGCCUCAAUGAUGUUCUUAAAGACGAUAAUCUUAAGGCAGUCUCAAUUCUGAUAGAUGUAGGGAAAGAUGUACAUUCACUCAGACAUAUUAUAACUUCAAUUAGCAUUGUUCCAUCUUCGCUUUCUGCUGUGAAGGAACAAAGUCAACAACAGAGAGAAGCCAAUCAUUCUCUUUUCUCCUCUCUGCUGGUGCUGGCCAUACACAAGUAACAACAACGGUUUCCUUUUCUGUCAACGCCUAUGACGAACAGAGAGCUGAUGACUCUUUCUUCAGACUCUUCACCAUACAGGUCUAAAGCAGUCGCCAACAACAAACUAUACAAUUCAAUUUGGGAUGUGAAUCUGCAAGAACAAAUAGGGAACAGACAUGCCUGCUAACGUUAACAAAUAGCUGGAUCUCUCUGCAAUCUUCUUGGAUUUGAAACUGAAUAGCAAAAAGAAGAGAUUCAAUGGUUGGAUAGGCGCAGAAAAAAGUAAAUCAAAACUCAGUAGAGAGGAUCGCCUCUUUCUUCCUCAAAUUGUAUUUCAUCAAGUUUUGAGUCUUAACAAGCGAUACAUAAGGCUUUGCUACCAUUGCCUAUGGAGACAAAGGUCGGAAUUUUAAGCACCACGGAAUCAGCGAAGCAACGUUAACGAACUUUUAAGCUGUUAAAGCUUAAUGCUUUUAUUUAUUUAUAUACACGAGGGAAGAACAGUUUAGACAAUGUGAGGACUCUCAGACAAAUCCUUCAACCAAGAUCGGUUUCUUCUCCUCUUCUUCGUCUUCUUCACUCUGAUCCUUCUUCUCCCUACUGCUCUCAAUACCUUCGACGUCUAAAUCCUUCAAACCAUCAACGCAGCUCCUCCCUUCUCCUCCUUCGCCUCCCACAACCAAAUCUCCGGCUUGUUCCGAUUCAGCCAACUUCGCAUUUCCCUUUCCGGCUAAACACGGCCCAGUAUCCCUUUCAUUAUCCCCGCCGACGAUGAUCGUGUCAGAAGCUUCCGGAAUCGGAUCCGCUACACAACCACCUUCCUCCUCGUGCUCGAAAAUCGAAGCUGCGCGAGACUUAACGGCGUUGGCGGCUUUGCGAAAAGCUUCCUGUAUAGAUUCCGGCGGCAGCGCACAAUCUUCGAGUCCGGCGUCUGCUAAUGCCGGCGGGAGGAUUUUGUCGAGCAGACCAACUCUUUCUUUCGUAGCCUCCAUAGGUGCAGAGAUUCAGAGCUCUCUUCCCUGAAAUGUGAACCCUAAUUUGGAUAAUUUAAAAGGGGAAAGGCGGUGGCAAGGGCAUUUAUGUCAUUAUACUUCAAGGUUGGAUCAAAUUUUACAAAACGGCACCUAGCGUCAGUUUGGUGAGCCCAAGGUUCGACACCUAGCUGAUAUCUUUGAUUGUCAAUUUGUAAACAUUAAUGAAAUGAAAUGCAAACCACCACGAAGAGAGAGAGAAUUAAAAGAUCUUAACCAUCUUCCCGGGAACACUCGCCGGAGAUACGUACGGAAUCAACAACCGUCUCCGGGAUAGAAUCCAUUACCGCCGAUUCCAUCAAUUCGUUAACUUCCCAGAGGCAUUGAUUCUCCCUUCAUCCUUCCUUUAUUUGUCGUUUCGAAACCAGCUCAUCUUUCCUCGAUCCCGACGUAUUUCGAAGAUCGGGUCCUAAUUUCCCGGGAAUGGGACCUUAGGCUCUGGAAGAAAUUCGUCAGUUCUGUCGGGUGAGUUCAGUGGAGGACGAAUUAGGCGUCUGAGAGAUAAUAGGAGAAGGGAUUUGAUUCAAAACUAUGAGCACUCAGAAGCAGGUGGUGACUCUUCGGGACCUGGUAGAGGAAGCUAAGAAACGGAUUGUAAUCGUGGUGAUAUGCGUCGUAGGACUGUCUUACCUCAUGUCGCGUAAGUUUGAUGUUCUUAUUUGACCGAUACUAUGAAUCUUAUGUAUCUUCAGUUUUUAGUUUUGAAGUUUUGGUUCAGUAGCUACUUAUGUGUUCAACUCUAGUGUUUUCCUCAGCAAUCUCUAAUGAACAUUCACGUUUUUGUAAACGUCUGCAGUGACAAGCUCAUCGGUUUGGGUCAACCUACCUGCUGCUGCGUGCUUGAUCAUCCUCCUUCGUUAUUUCUCAUUCGAUAUUGAAAUGAAAAGAAAAGCUGCAGCUUACAACAGCAAACCCUCGUCUCUGAAUGCACCAGCGUUAAAUAAAACACCCGAACUCCCUAAAGCAGCUCCACGGUCUGACUGGAGAAGCAAAGUGAACUCCCAGGUCGUUGAGGAUGCAAUUGAUCACUUCACCCGCCACCUCAUUUCUGAAUGGGUACUGGAUCUAUGGUACUCCCGCUUAACACCGGAUAAGCAAGGUCCUGAAGAACUGGUGUUUAUCAUUAACGAUGUUCUUGGGGAACUUUCACGGCGGUUUAGAAAUGUAAAUCUUAUUGAUCUACUGACAAGGUCUGUUUUUUUUUGGUUCUUCGUCUCAUCUUGAGUUUCUGUUAAGGUCGCUUCUCCAAGAAACUAAAUUGCUGUAAUUGAUGUAGGGAUCUAAUUGAUAUUAUAUGUCGUCGCGUGGAGCUUUUCCGAGAGUGUCAAGCAAAGAUUGAGAGACAACAAAAGAGAAGCCUCAGUUUCGAAGACCGCGACUCAGAACUAAGACGUGUGAUGGCCACUGAAGAUAAAUUGCACCCUGCAUUGUUUUCUCCUGAAUCCGAACAUAAGGUUGUUUUUGUAGUCUUAAGUUGCAGUGAGAUGUUAUACAUAUUUUUAUGUUGGAUGUUUCAUCACUUUAUUGCUAUCAGGUGGUGAUACUAUGAUCUCUAUUUGGCAGGUUCUGCAGCAUAUAAUGAACAGUCUCAUUUCACUAACAUUUAGGCCAGAGGAUCUGCACUGUGCUUUUUUCCACUAUACUGUGAGGGAGCUUCUUGCUUGCUGUGUGAUCCGACCAGUCCUAAACCUAGCUAAUCCUCGGUAAACUAUUGCCUCUUUACACCACAUUCUGUUCCUCUUAUUCUCGCCUCAAUGGUACUCAUUUCGUCUACCAGGUUCAUAAAUGAGAGGAUUGAAGCUGCUGUAAUGUCAAGGAUAAAGACUAGUAACAGAUCUAGUACUGCAGAAGAGGCUUCUCCGUCUGAAGAUCUCUCAAAUGUUUCUCCUGAUCAUUUUUCUAGAUAUUUGGACCCUUCUGUCAAAGGUGUUGAGCUUGUGCAAUUGAAAAAUGAACAGCAUAAAAAUUCUAAAAGGAAAAGCGCUACAGAUAAACAGCAUGUAACCGAAUUUUCGAAAGAUCCAUUGCUUUCAAUGGACACUCAAUCUUCCCGAUCGUGGAACUCCUUCCCGUCAACGUCCAAAACAGGUGAUGUUAGUAGAGAUCCUCAAGGACAUCGAGGAGGAGAGGGAUGGGGUGACGUAUUAGACAUGAUGUCACAAAGGAAAACUGAGACCCUUGCCCCUGAGCAUCUCGAAAGCGUGUGGGCAAAAGGAAGAAACUAUAAAAUGAAGGAAGGUGAAAAAGUUGUUGAGCGCGUGCCCCCGAGAUGGUCUAGCAAGGAAUUGAGCAACGAUGAAGACUUCGGUGAAAACACUGCGAUUGCAAGAAUGCCCAGUCAGCGUAAAGUCAUAAAUACAGAAAAUCACUUAUCAAGUUAUUCCUCUGCUGAAGAGGACGAGGAGCAAACAAAGAGUAAUCAUUCUUAUACAUCCGAAGAUGAGGAAACGGUAACAGGUCUAAACAGUCCUGGGACUCGAGUCUGGGAUGGUCGAACGAAGAAAAAUCUUGGUGUUUCACGGAUACACCAUCCACUUGAAAAUUCUGGCGCUAGUUUCAAAAAGAAUAAUAAAGGGCAUGGGCGUUAUCAGCUAGCCAGACAUCAAUCUGGCAGGAAGAGAUCUAGAGUAUCUGGACACAUUAUAGACGAUGAUGACAGCGAUAAUUCUGAAGAUGGUUCUUUGGCUAGAUCAUACAGUGGAAUGUCUGCAACGUCAUCUGCAUCCUACGUUUCAGCGGCAGAAAGUGAUGUUACCUAUGCCCCUAAAAGUUCUUUGUUGGUUGAUUCCUUUGCCAAGUUGCGAUGUGAGGUACAAUUAAUUAUCGGUUGACAUCCAAGCACCCAAAAAGCUGCAGACAAUUAUGCCCAUAUAUAGCAUCAAACGAUGGGUAAUUAUAAUUUCUUCUUGCAGGUUCUGGGUGCCAAUAUUGUGAAGGGUAGUUCUAAGAUGUUUGCUGUAUAUUCAAUUGCAGUCACAGAUGAAAGUAAUCAUAGCUGGUCGAUCAAAAGAAGGUGAUAAAAUAAUACUGCUACGGAUUUGAUGUUGGUCUUUUGUCUUCUAAACUUUUGUGUGAACUUUCAGAUUUCGACAUUUUGAGGAGCUUCACCGGCGGCUUAAAGUAUUUCCUGAGUACAAUCUUCAUUUACCGCCAAAGCAUUUUCUAUCAACAGGCGUGGACAUACCUGUUAUUCAAGAGCGAUGUAUACUACUUGAUGAGUAUAUCAAGGUCAAACGCCAUGUCUCUUGUUUUCUACUCUCUGUUCAUGCCUUACAUGAUGCUUGUAUAUGGAUUUUUUUUUUUUCUUUUCUACUGGAUUUGGUUUUUUGAUGAGUAGGUAUUGUGAAUUAGCUUUUGUGUUUCAUUAUUCUGGUAGUUACUUUGGAUUUCUGAGAAGCUGAUACUGAAUGCUCUUAUGCGUGAAACGUCACCAUCUACUGCCGUAUAAUGUUAGUCUGAAGUAGGUCAGGCCUGCUUUGAUCUACUGAAAUUAUGUAUUUUGCAUCUGCUAAAGUAAGCUAGGGCUGAUAGUUCUAAUGCUUGAUUCUUUGUAGUUGCUUAUCACUCUGGCUAAUCUUCCUUGUUAACUAAAAUGUGAAUGUUUGCUUUGCAUUGAGAUGAUUCCCCAGUUUUCCUUAUUUUGCGAAUUAUCCUUUCUCUACUUUGCUCAGAAGCUUUUGCAGCUACAACGAAUUUCAGGAUCAAUUGAAGUUUGGGACUUCCUCAGUGUGGAUUCCCAGGUAGAUUCUCUUCCACUGAUUCAAAAAUCACUAGUGCUGAAUUUUUUUGACAUACAACUUGUUGCUGCUGUGCAGACUUAUGCAUUCUCGAGCUCUUUUUCAAUCAUUGAGACGCUAACAGGUGAGAAUCCAUAAAGCAAUUAGAUUUGGAUUUUGAUUAGUUCGCUAUAAUUUACUGUCACUAGUAAAUCGUUUCAGUUAAACAUGUCAGUAAGACAUCUACUGGUGCCACAAAUAUGGGAACUAUGACUGAGGCAACACCUGGUUCUCGUCCUUGGAGAGAAAACCUGAGUUCGGAGAAUGGGAAACUGGGUCAACAUUUGAGGAAUAAUGUAAUCGUGGAUGAUGUGAAGUCAAAAGUGAAAACUCUUGGAAAUGAUCAUAUGAAGACGCCUUAUUUAGAUGUGAGAGAUAGCAAAGAGAAUGGUGGGAUAAAAGUGGGUACUCAACAUGCUGAUGAUGUGGCCUGCGCCGGCCUGCCCACCGAGGUAUAUAUAACAUCCACACCUAGUAACAGCCAUUCAAAGAUUUUAUUUUCUGAUGAUUCAGUCUUUUGCAUUGUAAGAAAGUGGGAAACCAUGAGGCCAGUACUUGUAUUUUUAUUAUAGUGUGCUUCUAAUAGCUUGUCUUUCGUGCAGUGGGUUCCUCCAAAGCUAACAUUACCCCUACUAGACUUGGUAGAUGUUGUCUUUCAACUACAGGAGGGUGGGUGGAUCAGGUACAUAAUUUUAUAACCAGGGGAUAUACUAUUUUUUUCUUUCUUAGUCAAGAAAGCGGAGUAAACCUGAUCAACCAUUUUUGCACAUUACAAGGCGAAAAGCUUUUUGGGUUGCCAAACAGAUACUUCAACUUGGGAUGGGCGAUGCAUUGGACGACUGGGUACUUGAGAAAAUCCGUCUUCUCCGGCGGGGAACUGUAGUUGCCUCCGGAAUUCAACGGGUUGAGCAGGUGAGAACCUCCAUUUGACUCCUUUUUGCACAGUGAGAGGUAGUGGUGAAUGUCACUGUAAAUAAUGGAAAAAUUAUGCCUGACAGUGACAUAUCCCUGUGAUGUCUCUAGCUUGGUUAUAUUUCAAUCCGUGAUGUGAAUUGAAAGAGAUAUUUGGUAUGACUUCUCAGAUACUAUGGCCGGAUGGGAUAUUCAUGACAAAGCAUCCAAAAAGGAAGCAACAAUCCGCCAGUUCCGAGGAGCAGCAACAAGAAGCCGAAAGGCAAGCAAAGUUUGUUCAUGAGCUGAUGAUUGGUAAUGAGCUUCCUGUCAUCUGAUAACAAAAAUUUCGUCAAUGAUAUUUCAAGUGUAGUUGACUUAUUAUGAAUGUUUGAAUUAAUUCUCAACGCACAGAAAAAGCCCCAGCGGCUAUAGUGAGUCUUAUUGGACAAAAGGAGUAUGACCAAUGUGCAGAAGAUCUCUACUUCUUUCUCCAGGUAAACAUUCUGCAUUGUCUUGAAUUUUCAGAUUGUGAGAUGCUUAAGCAAAGUGUUUGGUUUCAUUGUUUAAAUUAUUGUUAUUUCAGUCAUCAGUGUGUUUGAAGCAGUUGGCGUUUGACCUUUUGGAGUUGUUGUUACUCUCAGCGUUUCCGGAAAUGGAGCAAGCUUUUAAACAGCUGCACUACGAAAAACACCUCUUUGGUCAAUAUACACCACCAAACUGAUACUUUGGAUUGUCCUUGUAUUCCAUAUUACAUGGAGUUUUGCUAGAAUUAUUGGAACAGUAAUAGCACGGAUGCAUUUCAGUGAUUAACGUCCAUGAAACACACUGGGUAUAGAAUAGCAGACGAUAAAGUACAAGAGCGAAAAAAACAAGUAGUUUCUCCUCUAAGAACGAAUUUAAAAAGCUACAUCAGAAGCAAAGCAAGAAACAAAUGGCAAAAACAAAACUAAACAAUGCCUAGGAAGAAGCAGCUGCAGACUUGUUUCUUGGGGUGGCUUGGGUACCUGAUCCAUAAUUCCAUCAAUCAGACUGAGUAAGAACGAUAAUAUAUCACAUAGGUAAAGUGAAGAGAAGGUGAGCAAUGUAGCCUUUACCUUCUCUAAAGCAGGUCUUGAACCUGCGAGGGACAUUGCGGAGAUACCUCAUCCUACCAGUUCCUGUUGUCUUUCUUCUAAUUGCCUUGAUGCUCCAGUUAUCUGCCCACAUAAUGACAUCAUAAAUUCCAGUACUGUUUCAGAAACUUUCCAAGACAGAGACAGAGAGAGUACAUGUCCUCUUCCGAGCAGCUGGAUAAGCACAGGCUGAACAACGACUCUUCUGGAUGUGGAAACUCCGGCGACCACAUCUGACACACAGCGUGUGCGACUUGUUCCUCCUCUUACCAAAGCUCCCUGUUCCCUUACCCUGCCAUUUCCAAAGCACCGGUUAUACACCAAGUUGGACAUAAGCUUACACGAAACGCGCAGUAGAUUACCAUUGCCGCAGAUGUCGGGAAAUGAUCAAACUAUGUUCUGUAGAUAUCUUUGCGGCUCCGAGAAGACGACCAUGUUUUAGGGUUGUGUCCAUCCAAAAUGGAUCUUAAUCGGUUACCGCCAAAAACAUGGGCCUCUUUAAUGGGCUUAAUGAGCCGAGUCUGAUAUUAGCCUAAGUCAACUGGCUUGCUGCAUGCAUGAGCAGUGGUGUGGCUGGCAAUGAUAAGUAGGGGACCAUUUGAACACUGCUUAUCAAUGUGAUGACGAUUGCUUACCUAUAAAAGUGGACAACACAAUCAACAAGAUGACACCUUCUUAAAGUCUGACAUAUCAGCUUCCUUCUUCAACUACUACAUGCCACUGAAUGAAUGAAUGUUAGGUUUCGUUUUGAGCUCCCCAAGUGAAAUAAAUAUGGUUAUCUUCUCAAAAAUUUGAGCAGCAAGAAAGAUGAUGAAACCUACAGCAAAAUCAAUUCAGAGAGUUGGCCGUUUCUUGAGGAAGACCCUUGGGAGCAUCAAGUCCAGUUUCUGCUCCCGUGAUUACAAGAACUUGCCCAACAACACUCCUCUCUUGAGCCCCUUCUCCUGCAGUCGCCGUUGUCCAGAAGAUUCCCAAACUAAAGAAACCUACACCGUUAUUUGUUGUGACACGGCUGUAGCAGAUACCACACAUGGCAGGAGUCUCAGCAGCCAACAUAAAAAGAGACCGAAGAAAGUUGCAGAGCCAUUCGAGGAUGCAAAGAAAAGAGGUGACGCGUUGGCGCAAAAGAUGAAAGAUCUCAACAUGGUGGAUCUACGAGACGUGGACCAUGCAAUGGAUGUACGGGAAGCGCUUAGAUGCUAUUCAAGCAUCAGAAGUCCUGUCUACCUUGACAUUGUUGACAAUUUCUUCACGGACAUGUAUUACGAGUUCUCUGAUCCACGCACAUCUGCUACUAUCAAUGGUUCAAGAAGAAAAGCAGGCUCCUUCAGGCUCUAGGUCCCUCUCAAUCAGCAUCAGUUUCAAGGGCAGGGUGAAGUUGUUUGACCUAUAGAGCUUGUAUAUCGUAAACAGAGUCACUAUCAACUACCCACAGGCCACAGCACUUCGGUAAAGUCAUCGGUUAAGAGAGUUCUACCUCAUCUCGUACAGUCAAGUUUAUUACGCUGCUAUUCUCAACUAUCAAUGCAACAUAUUUUCACUAAGUUAAAACAGUUUCUAAUACACCUCCAGACAUGCCUACAACUCUGUUCUUGACUGUACUCACAUUAUGAUUUCAGGGCAGGUAACAUUAUUCCUUUUCAUGAAAAAUGCAGAAAGUAAACAUAUGUAUAGAGAAGCGAAGUUAUUCUUCUCCAAAUACGAUAAAAGUUACAUCAUCACACGAUUAUCUGUUUUAAGUUGAUAAAUUUGCAUAUCAAACAACACUUGAUGGAUAAAAGGGAAUCAUUUCUUGCCGCUCUUCUUAAGUCCAGAACCUCCAAAGGAUCCCUUCUGCGAUGCCUUGGCUCUAAGCUCCUUAAGUGCCUGUUUUUAUCAAUGUCGAACAAAAUAAAAUGGGUCAGGCUUUCGAUAAUAAAUGACCACCGUAUGUCCUUUUCAUGCGAAAGAGAAAGGCUAUAGAGUCUUUUAUCAUUGUUGGGUGGAAAACAAAGUAAACUAAACAUCGUAACAAUAGCCUAUAGGCAAAAUGGUCACCAUUUCAUCAGAUUAAGAAGAAACUAGUCCAAAUCAUCAACCUAUAAUGAAUACCUAAACUAUAAACAGUUAACAAAAUGAUCCAUCAAGUUGUCGUCACCAGGUAUAAUGUCAUAAUUGGCGUCAGUUUGAUUAGUUGACAAAACUGACAAACAGACAAAGUGGUACAUACUAAUGCAUAACAUUACAAAAUCCAUGCAAAUAAAGAGAAGCCAAUAAUGUAGAUACUAUAUUUGAUUAGUAGAUACCAUAUCUGAUUAGUAUGUACACAAAAAAGUCUAAACAGGAAUGCAUUUUUUCAAUCCCAAAACUUCAUAAGAACAAGAAACAAGCUAGAGCACCAAAGUGGGAACUAACCUUCUCCUCAUCUUUCUUCUUCUGAAUGUUAGCCAAGUCGGUCUGCAUUGAAGCCAAAUCAAAAUUCCAUAAAUUUGAGUUAAAGAAAAGGGACUUAAAUCAUUGAUCGAAUAGUAGGUAAAAAUUCAACUUGCGUAUAAAUCAUUGAGUUGGUUCUGUAUCAUUUUGAGUAUAUAAAUGUUAAGAAUUCAAGUAAGCUUAGACAAUCAAAAACCAGAUCCAGACAUCAACAGCGUCGUUUAAUCCGAGGUCUAGAGCUAAACAAUAUAAAAACGAACUCUUAAAAAAAAUCAAAAAGAAAGGUUCAGUAGAGUCACCUCGUCGUAUUCCUUCUUAUCAGCUUUUGGCUGCUUCAAAGGUUUCGCCUUCCCUCCUGUUUUAGCCCAAAAAAAGAUUAGCAGCAGAUCGUAAACAAUCAGGGAAUCACGAAUACUAAAAAUCGGCGUUACCUUGCUUGGACGACAUGACUGGUUUGGUGAGCUUAGCUAGGGUUCGAUGUUGAGCUCACAAUUGGGGGAAGCUGAGAGUUGCAGACGAUAUCGAAUCUCCCUGAUCCCCCACUACGGUAUGUCAAUUUAUAAUGAGCUCGUAGUAACUACGCAACCCAUUUUAUGGGCUCUGAAAGAUAAUGGCCUGUUAAAAGGCCCAUCAAUUACCUUAUGGGCCCGCUAAAUUCCUUUUUGGUCAACCUUAGGUCACAAUCGUUAUAUAUAUAUUUUUAAUGCGCGAAAUAACAAAAUCGAUUAAUAUAAUUUGGUGAAACGACUCCUAUUUAUUUUGACCUCUAUUUAACAGUUAAAAAAAAGGCCUGGCUCCUUUCGAUUCACUGGAAACACCCAAAAUCGCAGAAGAAGGAACGCCUCUGGAGCUCAGAUAGGGUUUAGGUAAGCGCAGAGAGUUUUCUCUACACAAUUAAUUCGAGCGCUUGAGCGACUCCUCCUUCGAUUACUCUAUGAAAUUUCUUCAUCUAGGUUUUGGAUUUACGAGUGGUACUGCUCUUCGAUUUUUUUUCAGGUUUCGAGAGAGAAUUCAUGGCGACAGCUGACGCAGGUGAACCGGAGUAUGAGAGUGAUCUAGAGGAGAUGAACCGCUCCUUGGCGACGAGGAGGAGAGAAGCCAGUGAUGACGAUAGUGAUGCUGCUGAUGAUAGAGAUGUUCAUAACCAGAGGGCUGAGAUUGAUUCCGACCUAUCUGAUGAACAUAUUGCUUCUGUCAAGUAUGAUAAUGAAGAAGAUGGGGAGGAUAGUUAUGAGGACGAGGAAGGUGGUGCGCUUGAUAAUGACAAGAUGAGUAGUGUGGUAAAGGACGCAGGUGAUUUGGAUGGGGAGGAAGCAAAGGAGAAGCAACAGGCUGCAGUGCCCACUGGUGGAGCGUUUUAUAUGCACGAUGACAGAUUUCAGGAAAUGGCUGCUGGUGGAAACAGGUACUCUCUUUUGUACUGUGUGUUGCUUUUCUCAACUUUCUCAUAUAUCCAUCAAUGCCUUGCUUUGCGAGCUAGGCUUUGACUAAAGUAGGUACCACCUUCCUAUGAAAUUGCAUUUAUUGAGAGAUAAUAGACUGAAAGGUGGAUUUUAUUCGCCCAACUUACAAUCAUGUCAUUUAUGUAGUCUGAAGGGGUUGCAUAGCUGCAUUGGGGUUGAUUUGGAAUACUAACUAGCUCUUCCUGUCAACAUUCUGUCUGUCAAUUCAUGGCAAUGUCAGAUUGAUAUAAACCUUAUUUUGCUUUCUUAGGCGGAUGCGUGGUGGAAGGAGACCGUGGGGAUCUGGAGAGGAAGGAAAAUGGGGACAUGACAAAUUUGAAGAGAUGAAUACUCGGGAUAAACAUUAUGAUGUAGAGCUUCUGUCUAUGGCUUUUAGUAUUUUAGAUCCCUCUAUCUCUUAAUGUAUAUAGCAUGUUAAUAUCACAUAUAUUUACUUUCCUUGCGUUCAUGUAUUUUCCAUCUGUUAUUCUUUUAACGUGCUUAAUUGUAUUGUUGACUGAUUGCAAUAUGUAUUUCCAGCAGAGGACUCCUAGAGGCCGAUUCAGAGGUCGAGGUCGGGGUCGGGGUAGGGGACAAGAGCGUGGUAAUGCUCGAGGGAGCAGUUCUAAUGCAUUAACUGGUAAUGGGCAGCAAAUCUAUCUUCCUAAAGCUGUCACACGAGGGAGAGGUCCCAGAAAAUUUGAGACUCCCCUGACAAAGGGAAAUCAAGUACAUCCCGAGCAAAUCAAACAGUGAGUUCUCAAAUUUUCUUCUGUAGUUAGUGAAGGUUUUAUCUUUAAUAUAAUAUAUUUUUGUCUGAUUUUGUAGGUUGCGAAAUUCUAAUGGGUCACAAAACUCUCAUGAGAAAAUGUCACACCUUGAUUCAAGACGUUCGCCAACUGCCCCUGCUAACACCGGGAAUGAAGGUGUCCAUGCCAGAAAGAAUGUAGCUGCUUCAAGUUUAAGUUCCGCUUCUCCUCCAUUUUAUCCUUCAGUGCCCUCCAGUAACUUGGUACAUGGUAUACAAGUUGGUAUGGAAAAACUCCACAUGAAUGAAAGUGCCGCACCUUCUGGCAAGAAGUAUAGGAAUACAAAAGCUAUUGUUUCACCAGUUUGGACUGCCAAGACUUCGCACUCCACGGGUCAAGGUAGAGGUGCACCUGUUACUGGGAAUGUGUUUUACCAGCAAGCUCAUAGUCAAGGUGACAGAUUUUCAUCACCAAUGCAACUUAAUGGAGAUUCAAAAGGCACUGGCCAAAGCUGUAUUAAACCUUCCGGUCAGGGUUUUGAUCAGAAUUCUGCUGUCAUCAGAUCCUUGUCUUCCUCUCCCCAGAAAGCUAGCUCAUUAAGAAACCUAUUUCCUCUUGGUGAAACAGAAUCUGCGCCGGAAAUAGGUGCAUCAAUUACCAAGGGAAAAGGGACUCUCCGGCCUAGUGGAAACGGCUCAUUUAUGUAUAAUGGAUCUCAAAUGAUGGGGAGAGCAGAGAGUUUGCCAUCUGCUGACAAUUCUACUUUCCAUACUUUUCUGCCUGGUAAGUUUUUCGAUGACACUUUUUUCUCUGAGCCACUUGGCCUGGUAUUCCAUGAACACUUUUUUUCAGAAUCUUGUCCGACCAACUUGGGAUAAUCUGAUUGCCAGUAAAAAUGAUUGCAUUAUAGUUUAUGAUUAAAUUCCAAUGCAAAUGCAGUGAUGCAAUUUGGUGGUCAGCAUGGUGGGGUUCCGGCUUUUGGAAUGGCUUAUCCAGGAUACGUCGAGUCUGAAGAUGGUGUUAGAAAUCCGGAGAUGACAUGGUAUACUUACUUUCUCAAUGAACUUAGCUCUUGGUUGUAAGCAUUUUAAAGAAUUAGAUUUUCUUGUUUCUUGUGAUUUUGUAUGCUGUCCCACUUCAUCACCUUAGUGUGGGUCUACAGGCUGGAGAGAACCUGCAAAGGCACUAUUAUCAUUAGAUUAUCAUAAUGGUCAUUUUCACUUUGAAUAGUGUGCUGUUUGUAUGCUCAAUGCUCUUCAUCCAUAUCUAUUUUUUCUCGUUGCCUGCUUGCUGCUGAGAUUUGUCUAUAUGAUUGGCAGGAUGCCAGUUUUGAGUGCUCCAGGAGCUUUAGGGGCUUCAUACAGUCCACCAUAUGUGGCUAGCCAAGCACACAAGCCAGGGCUACCUUCCGCAUUAGGAUCCUCCAGGUUUAGAUAUUAAUUUCCUUUGUUCUGGUAACUUCUUUUUAUGCAAUAACAAUGUGAAUAUUGUAGAGCUUUAAAAAACACAAAACCAUUUGAUAUUCAUAAUUUGCGUUGUUUUUUCUUUUUUCUCUUAUAUAUUCCUACUGCAAAUGCUUGGCAAGGCAUGUAUUUUGGCUUGCUUAAUCCAUUACCAUUUUUUGCAGCAAAGAAAAUAGUACAAAUAACCUUAUUGACCUGGAGAAUUCCAUGGAGAGGCCUGGUUAGUCAUAUUUGCAAUUCUGGCUCGUUCUGUUACUAAUGGUUAUGCAUGAGGUGUUUGUGUAUUACUCCUACUAGGGAUAUUUUUAUAUUUGUUAGGAAAUGGUAAAGAGAGUGGUCUUUUCUUUUGCCUUAGAAGACAGAAAUCAUAAUGGAAGUUUUUUGGGUUGGAUGUGAUGGAUAACUAGUAUUAGUAUAGAAGUCAUGAUGUUGAUUCGGCGGCUAAAAUGAAGAUUGAUUGUUGGGAUAAUUCUUUUUGAAGUUUAGCUACUUUCCUUGUAUGCAGAGGUCACAGAGAGUGGGGUUUCACAACAGCAAAGCAACAACCCAAGCAAGCAGACUCGUAGGUGAGUUCUUGAAGUUAACUUCAAAACCUACUCUUUAAUUGAUCAUAGUUGAUAUGGAACCUUAAUACUAGGAACUAUGCUGCAUUACGUCUAUGGAUUGACUUGCAGUAACUGCAUUCAUAGGCCUAAGGUCGCGAUAAUCUAUAGAAAAUUUCAUGUAUAAGUUGUGUGGAAUUUGACCCGAUCAUUAGAUAGAAUAUCUGCUUGAGUUGUCAUUGGUGUAUAUGCAGGUACUCGGAGAUGAGCUUUAGCAAGUGAUAACAUUUAUGAGAAUAUAAGAAGAGGGUUUAGGGACUCCUUGGCGCAGGGCCAUGUUGCUUCUCCAAAGUUUGUUACAGGGCACUUUAGGCAGCAACUGUUCCUAAAAAUCUUUGGUAAGUGAUUCAAAACUAGUUUUUAAUUACGGAGGAUGAUAGUAACAGAGUAAUAGGAAGUGAAUGUUGGAUUGUUCUGCUUGUUGUUGCAGUUUUAUAAGGGAGGGAAAGAAUUGAGAAGAAACGUGGUGGCUCAUAUAAAGCUAAUGGGCAUCUAUGUAUUUAUGUGUGUUUCGUAUUUUCGGUUAUCUGCAUGUUUUGGAAAUUUGCCAUUUACGCUAUUUUUCCAGGAAAGUAGUUGUCCUAAGCCUUGGUCAACCUGUUUGGUGUGUCUUUUAUUCUUUCCAAGAAUCUAAUCUAAAGUACUCUUUUUUGAGCAUGUAAAUAAAUCUUGCGAAGGUAUUUGAAGUUUUCUUCUUAUGGAAUCAUAUGAACUGGAGUUUGCAUAAAUCUUGCUACAAUAUUAACAGUUGCUACAGUACCUCGGAAGAUCAUAUAUUUGGACCAACUUGAAACCUGUGAGAUGUAUUAUGUUAAAUAGAGUUUUGAUCUCGCAAGUCCAAUGCUGCUGAUCAUAUAAACCACUCAAUUUUCCAUUCAAAAGUUCAGCCGUUAGGAGAUCGAGCCAAAUCAAAACCUCUGAACCGAACCGACCUUGAGGGUUCUAAUUUUGAACUAAGCACGGGGUGGACAGGUUACGUGCGUUCACGAACUAAAAUAAAACAAAAAAAAAGAAUAGCCACGAAAAUUUACAACACAACGGGGCCAAGCUAUAUAAGAAAAGAAGUUGCCAACUACCUAAUCCCAAGAAGUAAAGCCAAUAAACCAGAUGAGUUAAGAAGAUUCUCUGCUUCACAAGAAGCUUUAUUUUGUUAACCUCAAACCCACUAAUCAGAUCAGACACAAACUGACGCCGGUUGAUGGUACAACCCAGCUGCAUCGUUUGUAAGUCUCAGCUUGUUCUUCCUCCUCCUUUUCUUUGCCACAAUCACAAACCCUUCACUUCCAUUUGUCUCAUUUGUGUUUGCUCCACACUCCUCUUCUCUACUAUAUACUAUCUCAGUCACAGCACUAUCCCUUGCGGUAUCUCCUGACUCGGCCUUUAGGGAACUGCUGGAAUCAACUGAUACACUCGCAUCUCCACCUACAUGUUGAGAGCUAUUCUGCACGGGUCUCCUCGGAACAAACUCUGGUGCAUCUGGAUUCAUGCUUCUUGGCAUCCCAACUCCAUUUAAGUGAUUAGCACAGUAAUAUGGUGGUAGGUGAAUACCACAUGUAACUCCAGCCCAGGAAAUAGGGUCUGCUACCAUAAUCGGGUAGUUGCCUGUUGUUGCUGCUAAACUUUGCAGAUCAAUAACCACGAAACCUCCAGGAUUGUAAGGCUCUGCGGAGGCUGAUAGCUUUGUCCUUCUUAUACCAGAAGCCUUUUGCCCAUGACAGGACCCCAGAUCUCCUUCAGACUCUGACGUUAAAUUUUCCACUGAUUCACUACUUUCUUGUGAUUCCUGUUUUUCACAGGGAAGCUCUGCGCCUUCGAUUGGUAAAUCCAACAUUACAGUGUCAGAUUUGCUUUCUGCUUCAGCUGACGCACUUGAAAUCCCGUAUAUCUGAGUUUCAGUGGUCUCCAAUUGCAAUUCUACUUUCUCUAACAUUGGCUUCAGAACUGUACCUGGUGGUGCCAUAGCAACAUCUUUGUAUGAGAGAGACUUUGAAGCCAAAGUAAUACUGGCCACAGCAGCAGAACCAGAAUCCUUUAACUGUGGCUUAGUUUUAUUUGUACUGACAUCUUUCCCUGUGUUUUUCAGAUCCCUGUGGGAUGAUGAAUUAGAGAGGGGUCUUAGAGUUGUUUUCUGCAAGGGAGAAGAUAAGUUCUGUUGCUGAACAUCUUGUCUCCCAUUAUGAUUUCUAUUAAACGACAUUCUCUUUUUCGUAAGAUCAGGCUGCCUUUUCCUUCUCGCACCAUUUCCGGAUCUCCCCUUUGAGUAUGCCUCUUGCCAGCCCUCAUCUACAGUUGAAUCUUCCACAAUUUGGCUGUCUACAUUUAGUCUAUGUACUACGACAUCAUCUGUUUUGAUCUCAUUAACAACUGCAUUAGGAUCAUUUACUUCGGUCCUACUCUUAAUGACAUUCGCUUCUACGACAUCAUUCCAUGUAGCAAUGCCAUUCUGUGAAGCAACUCUAUGGGUAGCAUCUGCAGCUGCAACACCAUGAUUGGCCCGUAAUACCUGUGGAAACAGAAGUAAUGUCACAAACCUUUGACAAGAAAACCUAGAGUGAUAUAUCCAUCUCGUUCUUUUCGUUUCAAUUAUCUCACAUGUUUUUUCCAUUAACUUCUAGCGCAUGGAAUGCCUUUAGAUCAAUAUUCCAGUUUAGACAUACAUCUAAAAAACCAAGCAGCAUAGUUUGAGUUCAAGCAGAGUUCUACACAAUUGACAGGUAUUUAAUCAGGUUAUUGUUUGAUCAACAAAAUCCAAAAUUAGUGACCUGAUGAACAGAAGGAGCUUAGAAGUUUAGUAAUUACCCUGGCGCGCCGCUGUUUCCUGUGAGCAACACUUCUUUUAGUGUCUGGAUCAGAACUUAUAUAGUCCAGAAGAUCUGAUACACUGCAAGAAAGGUCGGACUUUGGUGCCAAUGAAAUAAUUACCAUAUCCUUUAUGUGUUCUGGAGUUUCCAUUUUAGUACCUAAGGUGGCCUUUGCUAGCGAUGGAAGCAUCAGGCUUUGGGAUUCCAUUUCGGGCUGCUUCCUGCUGCUCUAUGGCUCUUGAUUCAAAAUAUUCAAGCCAUGCAGCAGCAUCCUGUGAGAGACAAAUGAAGAAAACGAAACAUGUAUGUCUUAGAGUCCAAAACAUUCACUUUUUUAGUUUACUAGUAAGAGUAUAAUAUUCAGCUGAGAUUGCAUGAUUCCUAAUCCUCCAUGUGAUAAAAGUAUAUAUAUACAGAAACCUCGGAAUCAAGAGAAUGAACUAGGAGCAAAUCAAUGACCUUUGUACGUAGGUCAUCUGGUCCAAGUUUUGCUGUAAGUAUCUGAAGAGUAGUUUGUUCAUGUUGCACACUCAAUGAAUGUGCUUCCAUGAAAGAGAGAGCCACAGCAAUUGCAUGAUAGCUUGCCGCUGUCUGGCAACGUAGAACACGAAAGCAUGAUUAGUUUAAGAAUGGGCGGAAACUGAGGCUAGAUAGAUGAGGGAGGAACCUGAAUAUGGUCCGCUCCUAGCAUUCUUUGAUUGCACUUUAGAGCUUCAUGCAGGUAUCUUAGAGCUAGAUGAUCAUUCCCUACUUCUUUUUCCAUCAUAGCCACAUUGAUAUAUGUGGCAGCAGUAUUUGGGUGAGAGAGCCCACAAGUGAAGUGAAGAAGAAAUAAUGCACGGUUCACAUAUCUAUAAACAGGGAACAAAUACAGAUAUGAUUAGAAAGAUAACAUUUAAAAGGAGCCAAUCAGAGGAAAGGCUGGACCAUAACUCAUUUCAAGGCAACAAGACAAAGGUGAUGGAAAAGAAACGUAGUAUGGUUCCAUCUUUAAGGACCAUAUAGACUAUAAGAGAUCAUCAUGCAUCACUUACUUUAGUGCCAAUUCAAAGUGUUGAAGACGAUAAUAAAAUACAGAAAGAUCCCCAUAGCUUUUCAUAGUGUCGGGAUGGUCGAGACCAAGUUCUCUCUCAUUUAUAUCUAGAGCCUUCUGCUGAUAUAUUGUUGCCUGAUAAAGAGAGGAUAAUAAUCAGUAACGUUACCUAACAUCAAUUUAUCUCUGUUUCUUUUUGUAGAUAAUCGGAAAUGAGAUUGGAAUUUUUUAUAUAACACUGCCCAGAAGGAGAACAUCAAACUCUCUUUUAUGGUCCUUGACUUAAUAAACAAAAAACUACCAUUUAGUAAGAAGAUAAAAGACGAUAAUACCUGGUUAAAAUCGCCGGUGUGGUACAGUACAACUGCGAGAAGGCUGUACGCACAAGCAGUAUUUCUAUGAUAAGGCCCACAAACAGCAAUCAUCUUGACUAAUGCCUACAAAAUGCAAGAAGUCAACAUCUCUUGGAUAACAAUUCAGUAGGUUAAAGAAGUGAAGAUCACGUAGCUAUCAAAAGAAAUGACACCUUUGUUCCAUAGUUCACAGCAUCCUCUAGUUUUCCUUUGUCAAGAGCAAGUUUUGAUGACUCCAAGAGUGUCCUUCCGUCAGAUGAAAUACACAGCACAUGCUGAUCAAACAAACAUAAAUCUUAAAAGAUUAUUGUCUGGCAUUUGAAUCAUAUUUCAACAGACCAAAAUCCAAGCAGCCGUAGAUUAAAAAAACAGAUUGUGACCGAAAUGCUAUUAGUCAAACUAAUUUGGAUCAUGGAGAGACCAACCUUGCACACAGGUACCAAGCCAAAAAUGUCAGAGCUCUUGAAAGGAUUUGGAGAAUCGAAAUCAUAAUCUCUUGGAACUAGUUCUAACCCAACCUGUAAAACCAUGAAAUCAAUAAAGAACUAUAAUUCUGAUAUAAGCAGCAGUAUCUUAACCAGAGAUACUUUACCUUCUGGCAGAGUCCUCGGAGGAUGGAAUUUUUUUUCAAAUGAUUGAACUCGGCUUUCUGUAUCCACCCAAAUUUUCUGGAGAGAAAUUUCUGUAGCCACUGUAAUCUGAGACAAUACUCUUCACUGGGGAUCCUAUCACACCCUUCCAAUUCACGGCAGCCAAGCAUGAAAUUUAAUGAAGCAGCUACUGCCACAGGUAGCUCGGCCAUGUUAUUGACAGAUGCAAUAACCGCCCUAAGAAGAUGCUUGAAAGCUCUUGUAAUCAUCUCAUGAAUACAGAGAGACUGUAUAUGAGGAAGUUUCUCAGCAAGUUUAGCCUGAUUCAUAGGUAUAGUGGACCAAAAUACUCAUUAGCAACUAUUUACCAUAAACCACCUCUGAUCUCAAAAAAAAUCCCUUUAGAUCAACAUAUUAGCUUUACUCUUUUAAAAUCAAAAUAACUUGGCAACAGGGAAAGGGUAUUCUUACCACAUGUCCUAGCGAACGCAUUUGGAGACCUCUUAUAUGCAUGAAGUCAGUCAUUGUGCGACCAUCGACCGGAGAAAGCUCCAGUGACCCGAAAUCUGCUACCUAAUAAACCAUUACAAUGAUUACUUGAUAACUAUGGUUAAAGAUAUUUUUCAGAAAUUUAUAUUUCGUUACCUAACUAAACACAUACCAGCCUUGGCAAAGCAAUUUCAUCAUAGUAACCAUAUACCAUCUUGGUAAGCUCUUCUUUUGACUGUAUCACAAAUAACAUUCGAGUAAGCACCACGGUGUCCAUCAAAGAAUAAAAAAGGAACCAUACAUAAACAAAACCAGGAAAUUAUCCUCUCGUGGUUACUAGUGCAAAAUGAAAGAAAAGCUAACCUUUAAAUGGAGACCGGUUCCAGUUUCUUUUAGGCGAGAGAAAGCUUCUUCAGAAAGCAGUUCCUUCAGUUCAGUCUCAAAAUACUCAUCAGUACUUUUAUGCCCUAGAUCAGCCUCUCCGUUUAAUCCGUGUAGUCUGAUAUCUUUUUCUUUUUCCUUUUCCUUCAAGGUGCUUGUAUUUUCUGAUUUCUUGCUUUUGCUCUUUAGAACUUUAAAUUGUUUUCCCAAGCCUUUAACUGAAAGUUCAAUCUGAUCAUUAGUUGCAGGCUUUCCAGAGACGUCUGUUUCUUUCUUUUGUAGAUGCUGAACCCAGCAAGAACCGAGCUCCCACCUAAUAGGUCUCACAGAAGAUACCCUUUUUUCUUCUAACUUUGCUAAGUUAAUUUUUACUAACUCCAGUACAAUACACCUAUAAGACUCUAAGUCAUCUGAAUCAAGCUGUGUGAGCUGGUUCUCUCCGAAUGAUCCAACACUGUGGGAUCUGUGAAGCUGAACCCUUAAGCUGCAAUAUAGUUAACAUUCAAGGUGGAAAACAAGAAGUUAGAUGCGCACAUGUCUUUUCGCAAGGGAUGAGAAAACCGCAAUGUUAUAGAUAUAGUCAGGAACAACCUUUGAUAUAUUCAUUUAACAAUUAAUAAAAAUGUAGAGACCCACAAAAAAUAGAACUUUUAAUAUGAACAUAUAUGAUGAGCAAAAUACGUAUAUUAUUAAAAUUCUUAGGGGCACAUACCUGUUAAGGUUAAGAGCAUUGGCUCCUCCCUCCGGCAGGUCAUCAAUCAAAAUGUCACGGCAAUCAGACAUUGCCUUGUACGUUUUACCCUCGACAUAUACCACCGCUGUAUAUCCACAGUGCCUUACACUAACUGUGCCUAAAGCCGGAGUAUCCUGGAAAAAUAUUUCUUCAUUGCUUAUACUCUUUAGAAGAAAACAUAUAUGCAUGAAAAGUAAAUACAUUGUAGAUAAUUACAGCUCUAAUCUAAUUCAGGUCAUCUAAGAAAAUUGCUAUUUGAAUUGAUAAUGAUGUUAGCAAUAUCUUUUAGUGCAGAAACAGUCAUUUUCUACAAAUAGGAAAAUACAGAUUGACAUAAACAACCUCUUGGUGGCGAAGGUAAAAGUGAAGAAACCAGCCUCUGGAAACAUCAUUACUUUAUAAUGAUGUAAUGAAGCUAACAAGGACGCAAAACAUAGCAAGUUCAAAGCCCAUACCAUAUUACAUGUAGAUAGUUGAGGAAAGGAUGAGAAAUAACUUACGUGAACAAUCACACUCUCAUCAGCUGUUAUCCCUUUUAGCAAAUUCCUUACAGCAAGUUCCAUGGAUGAUAGAACAAAUGCUUCAUUUUGAAAUGCAGCUUCAGACUUCGCGUCAAGGCUGGCUAUAUCACGUUUUACAAUAAUAGACAAAUCCCCAACAUGAUCCUCAAGCAGGAUCGAGGCUGCAGGUAUUCCAGUAGCCCCAACUGUGUGCUGAUUAGUAUCCAUCACGUCGCAAAUGGCUCUAACAGCUCUUCGCACCGAGGUAUCGACAAACUGAUUAUGAAGCAAGAAAGCUUUCUUAUCUCGAAUAACCCUCUCCUCGUCAGUCUUGCAAGGAAGCGUAGCUAAUACAGAAAAAUCUGCUGCCCAAGGUCGAAGAUCAUAUUCACCAUGCAUCCCCUGACCUCCACCAUUCCCGCCCCAAUGUCCAUCCUCUGUUGGUAAAGGAGAAAAAGUUGAAGGAGACUCAGAAACGGGAGGAGGUACAAGCCAUGUAUUACUGCGUAAUCCAUACGGGAGGUUGCCACACUGAAAAGACAAAGAAGCCAAACAUAAAAAUUGUUGAGCUUGAAAACAAUCCUCAAAACUCCAAUCAUUAACUUGAACUAAAACAGCAUUCACCUUAUUCCGGUCAGUGAAAGCAGUCAUUAGAGAUUCAUAUGCCUGCAUCAAUUCCCAAUACAUUGUUGUAAAAGCUUGUUUCUUUGUGAAAAAUGUGUACAAUGCAAUGCCAUAAAUAAGAAAAGCAAAGCAUGAAAAGUUGAAAAUACCUUGGCAAAAGCAUUGCUGACAUUCUGGAGCAAAUCAACAAUGGAAUGACAAUGUGAGAGAUGCUUCCCAACGGCGAAGAACCCUUUCACCGAAGCAAUCACAUGAAUAACCUUCCCAUUGCAGAUCUUAACCUUAAGUCCAAAAUAGUAACCAUCACGAUCACGCCUCUCUCCAGCUUCUUCACCAUCGACUUUCUUCAAAUCUGCAGAUCAAAAUAUGAAACGAGGAAGAAGCAAUGAGCUACAGGAAGCUGCUGUGGAAAUGUCAGUUAACCAUAAAGAGAUGGUGAGUGCUGGUAACUUACGAAGAAUCGGAGGAGAGAGGUGAGAAAUGGAGAAAAAGUCGUAAAAUUGAGAAAGUUUAGGAGUGGGGUGGAUAGCGACCAUGUCGAGGCCCUCCGGUGAGGCCGGCGCCUGAAUGCCAUUGUUGCCGGCGACGAUGGGUUUGUUGGGGGGUGAUUUGGCGGAAGCGGAGGAGAACCUGGUGGUGCAUGCUACGAUGUCUACGACUCUCCGCACCUGAUCCCAAGCUUGGCUUUCCUCCAGGUACUCCUCUGUGGCAAAAAUGGUAAAUAGUACAAACUUUUAAGGGUAAGCGAAGAAAAUAGUAAACGAAACGCAUAGAGAUACGAACCAAUUACAAAUUUUGGUAUUGGUGUCUCUCUAAAACAAAAUUAAACAAUGAUUAGUGCAAUAUCUCACUGUCACUGACACUGUCUGUGCCACUUACACAAAAUUUGAAGAGGAAAUGGGAAUGUUGUGUAUUCGUUUUUCUAAUUCGCAAUUAUAAAAACUAAAUCUAGUGGGAACAUUUUCGUAACUAACCAGGAAUCAUGCGGAGGAAACAAGGCUUGAGGGAAACAACUUGGAUGUUGUCACUCAAUUUGUGCCCUUUCACCUGUACCAAAAUCAUAUCAUCAUCAUCAGUUCAGUGAUAAAGCUGUGAGAUUAGAUAUUAUUAUUAUUCACACCCUUAAAAAAAUAUCUACCUUAUGGGAGAGAGAGUAGUUGGUGAAAUGGCAAGUCUCAACGUGAGAUGCCAAAAGCCUUCUCACAUCAAUGAUUCUGUCAGUAGAGACUCCCUUGAGUAUCACCUGAGUUUCGUACGGAGUUGUGACUGUGAUCUCAACAAGACUCGGUGCCAACAACACUUUCUCUUCUCUCUUCUUCUUAUGGUCUCCUCCUCUCCCUCUGCUGUUUGAUUUCCCUUUGCUCGACCUCGGUGCCAUUGAUCCUUAAAAGGUAGAACAAAAUUAGAUCAUACAUAUAUAUAAAAGAUUGUAAAAAGUGAAUGGAAUCCGCACAGCUCCGUUAAAGCAAAAACCAAAACCCGGAAUAGUCAGACAGUGGUAGGUAGGUAGGUAAGGUAAGGUACCUUGGAGAGAAGAUUCUGAGCAGAGCAAUCAAGAAAGAGCCUUAAGAAAAGAAAAAAAAAUAGUAGAGAGAGGGGUGAAAGAAGAGAGGUGAAGAGAGGAUAUAUAAAAAAGAGAGAAGGAUAAGGCCACAAGGGUUUUGGAUGGGUUUACCACUUUGGUAUUUUUGGAUUUAUGACCAAUCCUGACCUCUCCUUGUCGCUAACGCCAAAUCUCUAUAUCUAUCUCUCUCUUAAUUAGACGUUACAUGUGAUUUUGAUGUUUUCACAUUUUAAGGCCCCCAAACCCAAUCACAGUCCCAUGCAAUUCGACCGAGGAUGAGAGAUGAUGGUUCAAAUUGAUACACGUGGCACUAUUAGUGGUGGGGACGCUGACCCUCUUGUCCGACUCCGUUUUGUUUGUUUUCGCUUUUUUAUAUUAAUCAACGGUUCGAAUCCUCUGGCUCACUGCAGUGUUUUUUCUUUUUCUUCUUCUAGUGGUUGCCCACUCAAAGUCAAUUGUCUCUUUUUCAUAAUAUAAACCCACCACACCACCUACUUAAAUGUCUUAACACACACACACAUAAUGAGCACGAGUUACACUCUUUCUCCUUCUUUAUAUUACUUUCCAACGUUAAACCUUUUGGUACACCAAAUACUUUCAAAUUCUGUGGCAACCCCAAUAUAUUCACCCACCUGGCCACCUAUACAUUGAAAUCAAUCUACUCUGCAUCUGAAUGAUUUACAAACAAUGUUACCUAUUACAAACAAUGGAUACUACUACCAUUAUAUCCCCAAACUUUUUUCAUUUUACACUUUAAUUCCCCCCCCCCCUCCCUCCUCUCACUAGUUACCUAUUAUUCCACCCAUUAAGAGGGACUGUUAGUGCAAAUGGAAGGACCCAAAACGUCAAAUACUUCCAAAGUGUCGAAUUGCAGAAGACCAAGUAUGAGAAUGGGACAAAAAUGACAGGUUACAAACAAGUCUUCUUACUAAUGUGAAACUUUGUUUUUCUUUUUUUUUUUUAAUUCAAAACUGAUCAAUUGCUGGUUACAUAAAGCAAGAAAGAACCAAAACAAUAAGAACCAAACGAAACAAAAGCAUUUUCAAUUUCAUAAAGUUCCAGUUUUCAACCAGUCCUUGGUGCACAAGAUAGCCUCCAAGGUUACACGAGAAAGAGAGGUCAUGUAACUGUCCAUCUGCUUCACCUCUGCUUCGAAUACGGAAUCAGGUGAGACGGUGGUGAAGGGGACUGAGAGAAGAUCAACAGCCAUCUUUGAGAGGGUAGGGUAGUUGGUGCUGUUGAGCCUCCACCAGCUCAGAACGUUAAAGUCUUCUGACCUCGGAGUCAAAGUUUCUUCCAGGUAUUGAUCCAGCUCCGUUUUCAUCUCUGACAUGUACAUCUCGAAGUCUGAUAGUGAUUCUCCUAUUGUGAUGAGGGUAGACCCUUCCUCCAGAAGCACGUCAACCGGAAAUGUUGUGUUGUCUUCCUCUGCCAUUGCAUGUGCUUGAGAAUCAUCACAAUGUUGCUGAUCCUCUUCUGUUGGCUGACUUUCUUCACUCACUCCCUCCCAAAUCCCUACCACAUUUUGCUUAUCUACCUUAAGAUGUCCCUCGUGUUGAUGUGACUCUGUGGUUUUCUCUAAUUGAGGACUUGUCUCAUCACCUGAUUGCCCAUUCCCUUCCCCCAGAAGCACGUCAACCGGAAGUGUCGUCUUGUCUUCAUCAGCCAUUGCAUGUGCUUGAGAAUCAUCACAGUGUUGCUGAUCCUCUUCUUUUAGCUGACUCUCUUCACUCUCUCCCUCCCAAACCCCUCCCACAUUUUUCUUAUCUACCUUAAGCUGUCCCUCGUUUUGAUGUGACUCUGUGGCUUUCUCUAGUUGAGGACUUGUCUCACCAGCUGAUUGCCCAUUCCCUUCCACUAGAAGCACGUCAACCGGAAAUGUCGUCUUGUCUUCAUCUGCCAUUGCAUGUGCUUGAGAAUCAUCACAGUGUUGCUGAUCCUCUUCUUUUAGCUGACUCUUUUCACUCUCUCCCUCCCAAACCCCUCCCACAUUUUUCUUAUCUACCUUAAGAUGUCCCUCUUUUUGAUGUGACUCUGUGGCUUUCUCUAGUUGUGGUGGACUUUUCUCACCACCUGAUUGCCCAUUCCCUGUAUUGGUAUCUUCAGCCAUGUCUUGAUGCAAGUGAGAUUCCUGAGUCACUUCUAUUUCCGAAAAGCCAUGAUCCACAUAAGCAUCCAACAGGUUUUGUUCACUGUAAUUAAGGUACAGAUCAUGGACUGCAUCAUCAACAGUCUUGGUCCAUUUUUUUGCAUCUGCACCAUACGUCUUAUUGAAGGUGAACUCGAUGAGGUGCAUUUUGAACCGGGGAUCCAAGACCACCGCAACUGCCAAAACCAGGAAGCAUCCUCUCCAGUAUUGGUCGAAUUUUUCCCUCAUCGUGUUUGCUAGGCUUCUGACAUCCGGGUCUUCACACAUGGCAGUGUGGCUCAGCUCUAGCUGAAGCUUUGUCAUCUCAUGGUAGAAAUCGUUUGCUGUCAACUGGUUUGGCCUUGCCAAGACAUUACCUGCUUCGAAAAGAGCCUUCAAGCAUGAGCAGAGACUCUCAAUCUUUCUCCAUUCUUCAGGAGAUAAACUUAUUUUGUACUCAGGAUGGCAAGUUUCCAAACUAGAAAACACUUGUCUGUGUUCACAGGCAGCCAACAACAUGUUGUAACUUGUGUCCCAUCUCGUUUGGCUGUCAAUGAGAAGAUCUUUGUAAGUUGAAGGGGUUGGAAACUGUUUCUUCAGGUCAUCGAAUAUGUCUCUGCAAACCUCGUUGGUUUUAACAUACUUGAUGCUAUCUCUGACUUUCUUUAUAGGUUCUUGGAACUGUUCAGCUGCAAGUACAUCUUGCGCCAUACUGCUUAGGAGGCGAGCAUAACAUCUUCCCAUCAACAACUGACCAUUCAACGCAUGCUGAUUCCUGACAGACAAAUAACCUCUGAGAUUAUCAAUGGAGGUUUUAUUCACUACUGAUUGGCUCACAGCGAUGCUCGAAAUCUUCCCUUCCAACUUCCAGUCUGAUAAGCAAGCUGCGACAGGUUGGUUUAAAGCAAAAUCUGAAUCUGGAGAAGCCACAACAGCAACAUUUAGAAGGCGGUGAGUCAAAUUCCAGUCUUUAUCAAUGAAGUGUCCAGUCAGAAAAGCAUAACCUACUGAUUGCUUUGAUGAACACAAGUCUAUUGUAAGAUUAAUUCCCCCAGGAAUCUCUCCAAUAAGGUCCAAAAUUUUCUGCUUUUGGGACAAAAACAUGGAGACACAAUCAUGAUGAAUGGUGGUGAAGUUUGGCACACUGAACUGGGGACGAAGAGCCUGGAGGAAACCAAGAAAACCAGGAUGCUCGACCAUAUGAAGAGGGUAAUCAUGCAUAAUGAUCAUCUUGGCCAUCUCAUGGUUGCAGCGAUCUUGAUCUAGAGGAGGCUGAACAUGAGGAGAAGAUAGUCGACGUUUCUUAGGAAGGUAGGAAGUGGUUUGCAAGACCUCUCUGGUUUCCUCCUUGACUGGCGUGAGGUUCUUGAACUCGUCCCUCUUUGGACAAAUACCCAAUUCAAUGUGACGCUUAAGGUGGCUAGUUCCUGAAGCCUUAGUGGCAGUCAUGAAGGCAAAGGAUUUGUUGCAGUGCAUGCAACGAGCUUUUUUAGUGUCAGGACUAACAACUUCCGUGACAAAGUGAUUCCACACAUCAGACUUCUUUUUCCUACGCGUAUUGGUUUGUGUAUCAAAAUCCAUCUCAACAACAGCAACUUCGACAUCAACUAAGUCUGAAGGAUUAGUGUCGUCCUCCAUAAUCCUGAAACAGAGAAGGCAAACUGAAUCAAUUAUCCACAUAUAUGAUUUGCUUUGACACACAAUUCAACAAUUUUCAUGAGAGGAAACGAAGGGAGAAGAGACAUAUUAGACAAGGAAACAAAACAAUUCCGAUAAAAACAGAGUAGAAGACAGAUCUCAACACCACAGCGAACUCUUGUCUGUAUUCACAAAAACCAGAAAUCAAAACGAAAAAGAAGAAGAAGAAGAAGAAGAAAGAGAGCGGUAAAGGGUACUCACACACACACACACAAAGGAAGACUCUGAAACGCGUGUAAUGGGCUCUGAAACACCAAAUCGCUAAAGAGCUAAUCGAAUUGGACUUUCAAUUUUAGGGUUUUGAGCUUUUUUUUUCUUUUGCCGUCGGCCCUUUUCUCUGCUUUUACUUAUAUAUAAUCAGGACGAUGAAUCUCUCUCCCUCCCUCCACCGUUGAUCUAUCAUCCCCACUUUAAAUCUGGUCCCUUUAUUUAGUCUCUCUCUUUUUUUUUCAUAACAUUUUUUAAUUCCCCUAAAUUUCCAAAUUGGCACAGCUCACUGCUCAUAGACUAAAAAAGGAAAAAGGAAAUACGAAUUUUGCUAAAUCAGCAUAACACAUAGAGCAACAGUCCCCAGUCGGAAGCCACGAGUUUUGAAACAUAUUACUAUUUUCAAGAUUCUGAGACAAGAACCCACGGGACCCCCUGAUUACUCCUCACAAUGCUGCUAAUCUUCAACAAAUUCCAUGAAAGUUACCUAAGAGCUUCUCCACUGGUAAGCCUUUUAGAGGUACUUAUCCAUUUUGUGGGCCUGUAAUAAAUGAGAAAAGAGUGAACAGGGCCCAAAACGAGAAGAAUCGUUUCUGCUUCAGGUAACCAAAGAAACCAUUAAGUACCGUAACGUGGCGAUCUUUGAUUGGCUGUUGAAAAAAUAGAAAAAGAAAAAAAGAUUUUUUCACCCAUUUUUCUCUUCUUCCCCGAACAAAAAAUCUCUUUUCUCUCUCGACCUUCUGCGGCGAAAGCACAACCGAUUGGCUUCUCUCCGGCAAAAUCAAGCGAUUAACCUUCAAUUGUUUGAGUUCUUCAUAGUAAAAGAUGCGAGUUCUUCGUUUGUGAGAUCGAUAUCAGUUUGGAUCCGGUGGAAAUCAAAAAUCCGGUGGAAAUCGAAAAUCCGGUGGAAGUGUGGAUUCGGAUCCGACGAGGUCUGAUAACGACUGCGUGGGGGAACGGCGUCUGAUAGCCACUACGAAAGGGAACUGCGCAAGGGAACAGCGAGGUCUACCUUCGCACAUCGGUCUGAGAAGGUGAGUUUUCUCAUCUCCAGUGUUCUGCAUGUCCUUCUACUUCAUUGCUUGAGGGUAUGGAAUUUUUAGGGUUUCUAGUCCGAUUGUGAAUAAAUUAAAUCGGUAUGAGUGAUAGGGUUAACAAUCUGUAUUGGGAUCUAGGGUUUAUGUUUAAUCUCAGAGCCUAGUUUUAGAAACAAAGAUUACCAUUUUCAUAUAUGACUUAUUCAAUUAAGAACUCGAUUUUUGGUCCUUUUUUUGUAGAGAUGGAGAUGGAGUCUUCAGCUGCGAAAAUAUACAGAGUGAGAAGAACAAGAAAGUGACUGAUUUAAUAACACCAUUUCUCUGUCUCUAUCAGAUCAUUCUCAGGUUAGCUAGGGAUUAGCUUAUGUUGGUUGCCUCUUUGUUUCGAGCUCCAAGAGUUACCUAUGUUGUCAAUGGACGACAAUACAAAAUGGCGUACUACCUCACCGACGGUAUCUAUCCCAAAUGGGCUACUUUCAUUCAAUCAAUUACACUUCCAGAAGGUCAGAAAAACAAACUCUUUGCUGAAUGUCAAGAAUCAUGUCGAAAAGAUGUAGAGCGUGCGUUUGGAGUCUUACAAGCUCGUUUUGCAAUUGUUAAGAAUCCCGCCCUUUUUUGGGAUAAGAAAAAAAUCGGAAAAAUAAUGAGAGCGUGUAUCAUAUUGCACAACAUGAUUGUUGAAGACGAACGACAUGAAUACGGUUUUUACGAUCCCUCCGAGUUCUAUCAGCAAGAAGGAAGCGGAACUUCUCAUGUGGACUUAUCGUAUUCUAGAGAUAUCCCAACAAAUCUCACUAAUAUGAUCGGCAUUCGAAAUGACGUCCGUGAUACGAAAAUGCAUGAACGUCUAAAAAAAGACUUGGUUGAGCAUAUUUGGCAAAAAUUCGGCGCAUCCCGACAAUAGACCCAAGUUCGUUUCUUUUCUCAAUUCCCAUUUACUCUAUUGCAAUUUAUGUACGUCUUUUUAAUUGUUAUGUAAUAUAUUUGCAAUUAUGAAUUAUGUAAAAUAUGUUUCUUUAAUUUUAAUGUAAUAUAUUUGAAUUAUGUAAUUUUAAUUUUCCUCUUUUGUAUCAUAUGUUUCCAAUUUUAAUUUUGAGUAUGCAUUAUAUCAUAUGUUUCCAAUUAUGAAUUAUGUAAAAUAUGUUUCUUUUUUUCGAAUGUAAUAUAUAUAAUUUAAAUUUUUCAAUUUUGUAUAAUAUGUUUCUAAUUUUUGAAUUUUGUUAAAUAUUUAUUUUUCUUUUUAGUGUAAUCUAUGUAAUUUUAAUUUUAUAUUGUUAAUUUCCAUUAUUUAUUAAUUUAUUAAAAUUUGAAAUAAAUAUAUUAUAAUAAUACUUAAGUACCCUCUAUUAAGGUUCUCUAGUGGAAGGCUUUUUUUCUUUAACAUUGCUAAUUGAAUUUUUUUAUUAGUUUAAUUAGAAUUUAAUUAACCAAUUAAUGUUAAGUACCCAAGACAUAGACUAUGAGUGGAGUUGCUCUAAGAGACGGCUGACAAAUGGUUUGACGUCAAACACUUCAAACUCAUUCAUAUGCUCUCCUGUUUCAAUGAACAUCACAGGACUUUUUAUAGCUGCAACACUAAAAAAAUGAAAAUGGCUCAGAUUCACUUAUAUAACGAGAAAACCCUGCAAUAUCUUGACCAUUUCGAGUACACAUGAUACAUACGCGCUAAGAGCACCACCGCCCUUGGCAUGGCCGUCCAUCUUAGUAAUAAUUACAGCUCCAACAGCAACAGUUUGCUUAAAUGCUUGAGCUUGAUCAAAUGCAGCUUGACCAAUACUGCUAUCCAUAACAAAUAUGACAAGAUCUGGUUUCUGUAAAGUGAAAAGACCAUGAUCAAAGCCUCAAAUAUCAACCAGUUAUAAACAAAAGACUUCAAGACAAGAGCGCAUACCGUUGCUUCAGCAACUUGACGCAUUUCUUCAAAGAGUGAAGCUUCUUGUUUAUGGCGACCACUGGUGUCAACAACAAUAAGAUCACAGUUUUCUUUCCUAAACCUCUCAACUCCCUCAACAGCAAUUUUCACAGGAUCAGAUUAUGUGUAGCUGGAAAGGAUCACAACUCUGCAUUAGCACAUUCUAGAAAACAGUUUUAAUCCAGAAUAUCUUCUUUUCUAUUUUUCCAUUUCUCCCUGUUACUGUCAUUAUAUAAUUACAAAACUUCAAGUAGCAUAGUCGCAGUUAUUUGCAAAUAGAGACAGAAGAUGAUUGAAGACUAAAAGAUUCCAUUGUCACAAACAGUUGAGCGCUUAGGCAAUGAUGUGAGAUCAUGUGAUAAAGUCUCACUGUGUAAUGAACUCCAGCAAAAGGAGCACAAAAAAUACAGACAAAAAGGGCUUAUAGAACUCUACACAGAAAACUGGAGAAGUAAGAAGAAACCUACUGGACUGGAAGAUCCAAUGAGAAACAUAUUCAAGUAACUUUAGUGCUUUUAAGAGUAAAAGCAUUUAAGAUAUAAAGCUUCACACAGAGGGGAAAGGCAAGAAUAAGAUCAGAUAACAGUGGAAUGGGGUAGAACCCAAGUAUUACUCUCCAAAAUAUUCCAUUGUUAGUGCAAACAUCCUUCAGUAACCAGUUUUUAUAUUUCUAAUGUUUGUGGGUAAUACGAAACUUUCCAUAUUCAAUACAACUUAUGAUGUAAAUUAGCCUGUUAAUAGGGGGAUACAAAUAAUCAACAAAUAGAAGAAGAGCCUGAAUGUUGUAUAUAUAUACGUAUAUACAAGAACAGGUUUUAAAAAUGUCAAUAUUGUUGUAUUUCUUACUUCUGUACAUUACCACUGACUCCAGAGCAUAUAGUGGUCUAUGACUGUGAAACAUGUUCCUUCAUACUAAAGUAACUGACAUAUAUGAGUUGAUGAAAAGACACAAGUUCCUAACAGGCAGAUUCAAGAUCACAGCAUUUUAGUUUUACUCUGAAAUUGGGACUCCGACAAAGCUCUCAACUGGAUGAUCCUGAUCCCUUCAGAGGUGAAGGAACUGCCGGGUACAACCUUUUUAGCUUCUUCUGCUCUCCGAACUGGUGGAUGGCGUCUUGAAUCCCUGCAAAUGCGACCACAAACUCGGCUGUAUCUGUUUGAUUCAGCAGCUUCUUCAUCACCAGCUCCAACACUUUAUACCUGCCAACCAUCGCAACAUUCUCUCAUAUCUGCUGACCAAAGCUUUCACUUAACUCAACAAGACUAAGACAUUAACAACUAUCUAUCUACUGGUGUCAGGUAUAUUUUGAUGGAGAGAAAAACAAACCUGAGUCGUUGUGCCUUUGAGAUGACUUUAUGGAUGUUCCCAAACAGCUCCUGCACAGAACGCAAAGCUUCUUCAUGCGACCGUGUACUGCAGAGUGGUGAAAAGGGGAGGUGCAGAACACAAGUGGCUUGAAUUUCUGCAUAUUCCUCAUCGAUAACGGCCUCCUCAAUGCGUAUCUCACGGAGAAGCUGAGAGAGUACACGUUCACUCGACUCAGACAGAGAGAAGGAGGGAUUUUGAGCUGCCAGAAUGCGGACAAGGUCAAGAAUGGAGGUCGGACGCCAAUCUCCAAGCCAGGCCACAGCAGCAAGCUCAUGAGGCGGUAGCCACGUGGGCAGGACGAGGCUAGAGACAUCCUUUAAGGACGUUGAAACCAUGGAUUUGUAGUAAUGGGACUGGUAUCUGCUCAGCUGUUCUUCAAUCAGUUCAUCCAAUUCCCACCUGGAUUUAAGCUCUUUGUCUAGUCUUGCAGCUAUGCUGUUCUGUUCUUGCCUCCACAGUUCAUACAAGUCUCCAGAAAGUUCUUCACCUGACCAAAACAAAUAUAUUAUGCUUUGUAACAUCAUCACCUUUGUCAAAGAACAUCAUCACUUACUUAAGCAUGAUGACAAAACAGAUAACAUUGCCAAGCCUUUAUCAAAGUUUCACCACCUACAUAACUCAAAACAAACUUUACUUUAAGAACCCUUUGCGCUUAUACCUUUUCUAGACGAGUCGUGGUGGUGAGAUCUCCCGGUUCUUUUAGACGAUAUAUUACUAGCAGCUUCUCUCUCCAGAUCAUCCCAUGAAACUUCUUCUCCAUUAUUGGGUUCUUCAAAUCCAUUCUCUUCACUAAUAUGCAAGAAGACAUACCAAUUAAUAAAAUUAGCUGAUUCGCACAAACACCAUAUCUUUUAAUCUCAUUCCACAUUCAAAUAUCCUCAACUGCAUCCAUAUCCAUUAUGAAAUUCAUCAAAGAGAGGCCAUUUUUGCAUCAAUUCACAUCCGCAAUCUCAUAAAGAAACCGAACUACUAAUUAAGAGAGGAAGCGUUUAUGCAUAGUUCGUCUCUUAGAAGAAAUACGAAAUAAAACCCUAAAUCCAAGCGAUCGAAUCAUAAACACACACACAAAAUCUCCAAACAGAAGUCGACCAAAUUUGGAACGAUCACGCUCAUUGAGAGUAAUGCAGCGAAGAAAAACGAACGAAGGAAGAAAGAUACGAAGAGAGAAGACACUCACAAGCGCGCCACUUCCAUUACUCUCGCCAUCUUCGGUGUUUCUUCAGUACUGAUUUCUUUCCCACGUUCUUGGAUUCACAACUCGAUUCAUUCGCGAACGCGAGGGAGUGUAAUAGAAUUUAACAGAGAAAAAACAAAAGAGUGAGAUGAAGGGCUAUAUUCGUCAUUAAACAUAUAAAUGGGCUAUAUUCGUCAUUAAACAUAUCAAUGGGCUAUACAUUUAAGGCCCAAUUAAUUAUCUUCUCUGGUCUUACCUGCCCGCUUACCAAAACAAAAAAACUAAAAAGUCACAAUAAUUGGUGAGAUGUAGCGAGAAAAAAAACACAAAUUGGUGAGAUGCCACGCGUUGCAUGUCACAAGCAAUAACAAGUACUGAUUGCCACGUGCUCUGGAUCGUCGCAAGCAGUCCUGAUCCGUAAGCAUGAAAGUUCGAGCCAAGAUCGACACUUAAAAUGCUCGCGAAGCAACACGUUUCCACUCACGACACACUAGUCAACUAACAAUGCAACAAGACAAGCGCGAAGACGAUCACAGCCGUCUGACUAAUGUCACGGCCAAAGAUCUAACGGCCGGAAAUCGACGGCUUGUGGAGGUUCCGUACACGGCAACUCUCUCCCACGCAAUGAACACAUUGGUGGCUAACUCUAUCUCCGCCCUCCCUGUGGCUGCGCCUCCAGGACACUGGAUCGGAGCUGGCGGUUCCAUGAUCAUGGAGUCUGAUAAACAAACUGGAGUUGUAAGAAAACACUACAUAGGGAUCCUCACCAUGCUCGACAUACUUGCUCAUAUCGCCGGCGAUGGUUCUGAUCUCUCUGAUCUUGAUCGCAAGAUGGGUUCACAGGUGUCAUCCAUCAUCGGUCAUUGCCUCGAAGGACUCAGUCUCUGGACACUAAACCCUAAUACCAGCUUCUUAGAGUGCAUGGAAGUGUUUAGCAAAGGGAUCCACCGAGCUCUAGUGCCAGUGGAGAGCAGCAUAGAGAGCAGUAACACCAUUGCUGGAGUUGAGUUGAUUGAGUCAGCCUCUGCUUACAGGAUGCUUACUCAGAUGGAUCUCUUGAGGUUCCUUAGAGACCAUCACUUUGACGACCUCAAGACUGUUCUCUCACGCUCUAUCUUCGAUCUCAAAGCCGUUAAUGAUUCCGUAUACGCCAUCACAGAAAGAACAACUGUUUCGAGUGCUAUCAACGUAAUGAAGGGUGCUCUGCUCAACGCUGUCCCCAUCGUUAACGCACCUGAUGUAGCACUGGAGGAUCAUCUACAGCUAAUCAAUGUAGGCUUCAUUAUAGAUAUAUACUUCAUUAUGUAGAAUAAUGUAUUUUACUUCAUUUGUGUGUUCUGAGAUUACAGGGGAGGCGUAGGAAAGUUGUAGGUACAUUUUCGGCCACGGAUUUAAAAGGAUGUCGCUUGCCGGAGUUGCAGACGUGGCUGCCACUCACAGCUCUGGAGUUCACUGAGAAAAAUGCGGGGAAAGAGAGAGACAUGGUUAGUUGCGGUGUGGACGCAACGAUGGAGGAAGCCAUAGAGAAAGUGGUGACCAGAGGAGUGCACAGAGUGUGGGUGAUGGACCAACAGGGUCUGCUUCAAGGAGUUGUCUCUCUUACUGACAUCAUACGCUCCCUAAGAUCUGCUCUUUUGUGAACGAUGAGCUCACUUUGUUUUGUUUUACCUGAAUAAUUUAACUAUGUAUUCUCAUGCUUCGUAAGAUCUGCUCUUUUGUAAUCACUCGGCUGUGUGAUCUUCGACUUUUGAUGACUUGGCGUCACUCUGCAUUCAUCUAAGUAUGUGAAAAAGAAACAGUCUAAAUGCCUAACAUUAAUAAUACAACAAAGUACAAACGUACAAACGUCAAAUGAUAAUGAACUGAACUACAUAGACAUUAGAUCUACCAACACAUACAACAACCACUCAUAAUGUUAAAGCUACACCUGAAAUCACAACAAACUCUUCACGUUCUGUGCUCUGUACAGAACGAUAUAAGUUUUAACAGCUAACGGAAGCUGCAGCUCCCUGUUGAACUUGAUUCGUCUCCAAGCUUCUGUUUGUGUCCUCUGCCUCCAUGUCGUUACUCUUCUCCUCUGCUGCAGCUUCCGUCUUCUUAACAUCAGAUUCUUUGGUUUCGUUCUCCUUAUUUGCUACAGCGUCUGUCUUCUUCUCAUCAAGUGCUUGAGUUUCAUUCUCCUUAUUUGUCUCAGCUUCUGUCUUCUUCUCAUCAGUUUCAUUCACCUUGUUUGCCUCAGCUUCUGUCUUCUUUGCAUCAGAUUCUUUGGAUUCUUUUUCCUUAUUUGCUUCAGCAUCUGCAUCAAGAUUCUGUUCUCCGUUAGCUUCUGUUGUCAUACUGCCCUUGUUCUCGGUCUCUUCCUCUGUAGGCUUCUUCUCUCCAUCACCCUCAGCAACAACUUCCUGCGGUUCUUUCAUUUCAGUGUCCUUUAGGCCUUCAACUUUGGAAGGUUUCUCAGCUCCACUCUCAGUCUUCUUCUCCAACUCAGAGAUAUCCACUUCCAUGGGAUCUUUCUUGUCCGCCACAACUUCUCCCUCUUUGUUCUCAACUUCAGUCUUUUCACCCUCUACAAUUUCUGCUUGACCCUCCUUCUCAACCUCAGUCUUGUCACCCUCUUUAUUCUCCUUUUGGGCAUCUGCAAUUGCUGUCACUUCCUCCUUCUCAGCUUCCGCGUUUUCCUUCUGUCCAUCCUUGUCAACAUCCAUGUUCUCCUUCACAGCAGCCUCUUCGCUCUUCUCAGCAGCCUCCUUAUUGUCCUUCUUUGUGAGAGAAGAUCUUCUCUUCUUCAUGAGGGGUUCUUUGUCGGGAGUAGGCGUUGUUGCCUUCACCUUUUGGCUGAUCCUUGACGACCUCCUUGGAGUUUCCCCAGUCGUCCACUCAAACUCAGAGAUGAGAGGAUUCCCAGGAUGAGCCUUCAGAUACUGCUCCAGCUGCUUCCGCGAGCUGAUCUCUUCACCCGUUGGGGCAACGAACACAAUCUCUGUCUUUCUCGGAGUACCCGUUCUUUUCGGAUAAAACUGAAACAAACACAAGCUUCUACUAAUCACAUACCAAAGUUACAUUCACUAGCAGCAACACAGGACGAAAUCUAUACGAAACCCCCAAAUUUUACCAUCCAAAUCUAGGGUUUAUGGUGUAUUCAUAAAAAAGAAACCCUAAUUUGACCCCCAAGAAAGCCCUAAGCGUUAAAUUCUCAUCUAAUUAUAUUAUUCCACAUGAAUUCAACAUAGAGAGCCACAAAUCCACCUCGAAACAAAACAUUAUCUUAAAAUCCCCCAAAUCGAGCAUAAACCCUAGACCAUAAGAAACAAACGAAUCUAACUAGAGUAGAAAGCAGAACAGAGAAAUAAUUUCUUACACAGACGACAUCAGAGACGGGGGGAAAAAUUAAUCACAGCAGAAAUUUCAAGAAACAGUGAAAAAUAAAACAAGAGGAGGGAAGAAAAUACCAGUUUCUUCCAUGAAGCAGGAGCUGGUAGCUCAAUGGAGACAAGUUCUUCUGCGUUUUCCAUCUUCGUAUCUCUUCACCUGACACAGUAGUACCCAGAAACAAAACUACCACUUUAAAACUCUUAUCUUCAGACAAAAAAUUUCGGCUUUCUUUCCUUUCUGGUAAUAAGCUGCUGCAAGAACCGUUGUGACCCUAAUGGAUAUGUUUGCGUGUCUCUUCUGUUCUGUCUUAAUUCUUUUUAAUUCUUUUCCAUUUUUAUUAUUUAAAAACUAAAAAUUGAUUUUUCUGUCUCCACGUAAUCCACGAGAGCGUGGAUGAUAAAUUUACACUGGGACGACGUGAUAGCUUAGUGACAGACCUCUUUGAACGCUACACGUGUCCUGUGUAGCCGACGCUUCAUCGAUGGAUAAGGAAGCAUCUGUUUCCCGCUUAAUAAAGUAGAAUGGAGAGUGGGGUUGAGGUCCGGUUCGUGACCGCUGUUUUACCGGCGAAUAUGCUUCUUCUGAUUAUUCCCUGUAAACUCUACAUGAUAAAAGGCUUAAAAGCCCAAGUUAAUUGGCCCAUUUACAUAUUCUUUUUUUCUUGUACUUAAGUGGAGUACAAUAAAUUUAGGAAUGUCGUCUUGAAAGAUCAGCUGGGAGGUGGAAUCAAUGAGUGAGUGGGACAGGAUACACAAGACAUAUUCCAGAUUGAGGUACUGAUUGGUCAAACCGAAAUAUUGGUCUUAAAGAUGGUACAACAAGAGAUAUUUCUCAUUUACGGUGAAAACGUAUGAGCCACAUUCUUAGUGUUCUUGAUCCAAUUCCAUAUGAAAGAUGAUACAACAAGGGCUUUCAGAGCCGAAAAACAAAACCGAAAAGAAAAAGAAUCGGAAAUGCCCGAACCAGUAUGUAUGUAUGUCUUCCAAGUCUUGUUCAUCAGUCGUAUAGACCUUCUUGUUCCCAUAUGUCCACUAGAAAAUCCACCAUUUCCUGGUUUACAAUUACAGCAGCAACACAGUUAAUUGACUGGGAUUCUCUUUAGCUUCCUGCAUUCAGAAAUUUGAUUUACUUACGGUGAGAGGAAUGGGUUGGGGAAAUAACUUGUUGCUCCCAAGCAAGCUAUCAUACGACGCUGCAUUCCAACUGCAAAUGAUAACAUUCAAACAUUGUCAGCCUUAGCCUUGGAAAACAAUAGUGUGUAAUGGAGUCACUCACUUGAAGUUGGCUCCUUGAUUGCGAUCCGGCAGGUUAGUGGUUUUUUCUUUGCCCACCCAACGCUCACGAGUCUGAUUCCAAAGAAGAAGACCUGCAAACACGCAUACUCACUUCAUAUAUAACCAUCAGAGAGCACUAGUGAGUAUACCAUAACGUUCCUACCACAAAUCCACAAAGAAAGUACCUUGAUUUACAAAUUCAGGAGGAGCGUUAGUGUUCCUGGCACCAGAAUGAGAAUCAAAAGUCUGGUUGGAUGAUAAGCUCCCCUGAGAAGGGAAGGUGUUGUUGUCCAUAUCAACUGUGCUUGUCGACCAGAAAUCUUCAGAGACACUCGGUUUCUUAAUAGGUCGAGCAAUGGGAUUGUAAGGUGGAUCCUUCAGAGUGGCGGGAGUUGAUCUGUGUUCUCUGUAGCAAGCCACGCAGCCACUGCUCUGUUACAAAACCAUAACUUCUGAUCAUUGCCCAAACAUAAUUGUAGUUUCACAAUCAAUCUUUCUAUCAAAACUUGAGCGAUAGCUUAUCAGCAUAAGCAAAACAACCGUACUUCUUCCCAGCAACAAAAUUAGGCAUGAAUCCAUCAGGAUAGGAGCAUAUAACUCAGGAACAAAACUCAUCAACCAGAAUCUAAAAUCUAAAAAAAAAUCAAUCAAACGACAAUACUCUGCAUAUAAUCCAAAAACAUAAAAAUCGAAAGGAAGAAUCGCACCCCAUCGAUUUUGCAGUAAGCGAUUUUACAAACCCAGGAGCUCCUAUAGAUCUGGAAAGCUCGAGAUUUUCAGAGGGUAAUCAAUGAUCCUUUGACAAACUUAACCAACCCUAAGAUAUAAAGAAACCAAAAGAAAGAACCAAUCAACAGCGAACAAAACAUGUUUUAAUAAUAAACAAACAGGAAAAAAAAAAAAAAAAAAAUCAAGAAUCUAGGAAUCAUACAAGCUUUUGCUUACCUGAUUGAUAAAUCUCGUUGGUUAAAAUAAAGUCGCUUCCUUUAUCAACUGGGCAUGGAAAAGAAUCCUUGAAAAGACCUUUGGCUGCGGCUCCUUCUUGAAGAGGAAGAAGGAGAAGGAGAAGGGCUCUGCCCUCUUUACGUUUUCCCUUUUCCUUUCGCUUUAAAAUGAUUUGUUUUGUCCAAGACCCCAUAGAAGUUAUUAUUCAUCCCUCCAGCCGUUAUACGGAUCCCCUGUCCCUGAGGCUAUUCUUGUAAUCUAACAUAAUCAACCAAAUCAUAAAACUUGUAAUAAUUGAUGAAUGUAUGUGUAUAUAUGUCUUGUAAAUUAUAUGGAUAGUGUGUUUGGUAUGAUGAGCUUAUACAUAACUAAAAGUCAAAAUAAUUGUGCAUCUUCCAUGCCUUGUCCAUUGUCUUAUACUAAGACCCCACUCAUCAUAAUUUCCAAUACAGCUUGUAUUCGUAAUAUUGUAAUGUCGAUAAUGAAUAAUAGAGUCUGGAACAAAUCAAGAUCUAGCAUAGAAACUAGAGUUGUUAACCAUAUUUGUAUGAAUACACUGAGUAUUAAGGAUGUAUAGAGAUGAUGCUUUGGGUGUCAACACAUUUAUCACGAUGAAGCAUGCCGAGAGGUGGGAAAAAGUUACAAAACCGUCGUUUUUGGUCGUCUGUAGCAGCAGCCGCAGCAACAACACGUUCUCCAUUUGUAGCAGGAAAAGUCACACUCGCACUUUGAAAAUACUGAGCACAACCAAGACCACAUGCAACACUUAUUCUUCUUCUCCUCUGUUUUCUUCUUCUUCUUCUUUUUCUCCUUCUUAUUCAUCUUGCUCUUUCUUGUCUUCUUUAUCUUCUUACUCUUUUUCUCACCAACAGGAAGGGGAAAAGGUUGAAUUUUUCUCGGGGGUGCGUGAUAUAAACAAUAGAAGUUGCUCGGGAUACUGCUCAAUGGGACAUCUUGAGUUGACAUGGAGUACUUCUACUUCUUUUGUUCAUGACGACUAUCCACUCUUGUUUCUCCUUUCACUUCAGAUCUUUUCUCUAUUGCACCCUCAGGCGUGGUGGAUAGCAGAGCAGGGGAGUAUCCCAAGAACUCACCCGUCAUCAGAACAUCUUCAGAUUUUAUAUUGCUUUGAGGAGAUACUUGAGCGUUUGACUGUCUAUACCCAUCAAAUUUCAGACUAAACAAAGACUCAUUCGAAACUUCGGUCCAACUCAUAUCCCCUGUCUUGCCAAACACCGAUUGAGGGAUUCUCUCAGGAUCGUAGUUCCGUAUACCUUCAUUCAUCAAAGGAACUGGUCGUGACCACGAAGGCGGAGAUGGAACAGGUUGCACCUUGACAUGAGUCAACCCCGACAUUUCAGAGCCUUGAGAUGAAGAAGCAGGCUGCGUCCUGACAUGAGUCACACCAGAUGUUUCAGAGCCUUGAGAAGAAGAAGCAUUUGAAAGCUCCCCAUUCUGCUGAUGGCUCUUAUCCUCAGAAUAUGCUUUGGACUCUUUGAGCUCAAUGGCAUCAUCCCAUGACACAGAGGAAGACAAGGAAGAAAAAGACAGAGAUGAUGAUGUUAGGAAGAUUUCCCUAGCAGGUCUUGACGUUAUAUUCCCUCUGUGACCACUCAUAUUCUCAAAUAAAAGCUCUUAUCAAUGCACUUCUUCGUUUGUUAGCCUUGCAACAUACUAUAUUCCGCUAAAUUUUAUUACAUGAACAGAUGAUGUUCCACCGCCGACAGAGAAUCUACCACUACUUCGGUGAAAGCUGAACCCUUGAGGCCAUCAUCACAAGCAACGUCCAAUCUUUUGCAUCCAAGCAGAGUUUAAAGAAAGCUGUAAGAAUGAUUUGAACAAGACUAAUCAGAAUCAUAGCCAAUCAUGAAUGACGUAAACCAUAAGUAUGAAAUGUCAACAUAACCUAACCUCAAUUAUAUUUGAACCAAGAAAAAGAAAACAAUAGGACGACGGAGAACAAAUCCACGAAAUUAAGUUCGAAUGAAUGAACACUAAUUCUAAGGUGCCUCAGAGUUGUGAUUAUGGGAGAUGUAACUUCUCGAUUCGGUUAUAAGGAGCUAGAAAAUGGAAAACAAACGAAUAUAUGGAGAGAAGAUUUAGAAAUGAACAGAGAGAACACGAAACAAAAAACCUUAAGAAUUUUAGGAAAACGAUGACCUGUGAAAUAGAACAGUUGACGGUUGAAGGGAAACGGUUGGCAUUUCGUGUUUCUCGAAGGCCUUUUUUACAACACUUGUUCUAUUACGGGAGGGGUUGGUCACCUUACCUGUCCUCCUCCGCGCCAAUCCUGUAAAACCUUAAACAUGUUGGGCAUCUUUACGGCCUUAUUAGGCCCAUAUUGAUUCAAUCGGACCUAAUUUGGUUCACACAUGAGACCACGUGUACGCAAGUGAGAGUGCCAAAAAAGGAGAUUCAUAAAGCCGUAAAAUUCGCUGUUAGGAAACUUUUGCCGUUUGGUGUUGGAAACACACCUUUGGGUGUCCUCUUGCAAAUUAUUUUCCCCUUUGGAGAUUUCAAUUCAAUCACGUGAUUUUCGUGUUUCAAAAAGUUUUGUGUUUACUAUCCAUCGUCCCAAAAAACCUUCUAGUAUCAUCAUCACCCGUAGGAUAAGUAACCAGGAUGUAACGGAUUCAAAUUUGUUCUUUAAAAAAUUUAGUCAUGUUCAAGAUUUUACUACCAUACCCAUAUUAUUUACAUUUGAGUAUUACUAAUUUACUAUCAUUAAUCAUCCAUAUAUAUAAGUAGCGACAAAAGUCUACAGCAAAGAAAACAAUAAAAAAAGGGAUAGCUAGAUAAUUGAAAAUAAAACAUCACAUGCAAGUUCCGAACACAAAUAUGAACAAGAUUUAAUGAAGAGACUAAAAUUAUGAAAUAUCGUUCAUGGGAGUGGGGACCCUGUGAAUAACCCAGCCACCACCACCAAAUUAGCACCCCGGAACCAAAAAAAAAAAGUAUAUACCAUAAAAUAUGUGUGUUAUUAAAUAAUGAUAAGCAUACACACACACAUUAAGCUAAAGAUGUUUGCUCAAAAAUUAUAAGGAAAUAGAUAUGAGAUUGACACCUAAACAUCGACAAUUAGAGCUUACCUUGCUGUGCGGUACGUACGGUAUCCAACUAAAUAUGUGGGUUGUGGUCGACAAAAGUACAAAACCUUCUACACUAAUUAUAUUACACAAUAUAUAUAUAUACACAUGGACCACCCUUUUCUUAUUUUAUUGUCCUUACUUUUACUUUUAACUUGUACAUGCUGUCUAAUUAUAUGCAUAACUUUUCCUCCUGUGUAUGUUGUUAUAUUUGAUCGCGAGUGAACAACUACUUUUCCCAGCAGCUUAUUACGUGUUUUCUUUAUGUGGCAGUAUCAUUUCUCGGUUGUUUAAUCCUCUAAAAUUCCACUAGUGUAAAUUUACGGUACUCCCACUUAAUCAAGUAUCAACAACAGCUUAUAGAUCGAUACAUUUAAUUUGCGAAUGACGCAUGGGACUCACCAGUCGCACAUCCCCAUAGAGAUGGAUAUUUCACACAUUGGGGUCAUCAGCCGUCAAAACAUUGUUGGAUUGAAUCAUUUCCUUUGUUAGAGAUAGAGGCGAGCUCGUAAGUCAAGGUAAUUUACAUUACGUCGUCGAGAUGUUCCUAUCAAUUAUCAUCAUAUGUAUUAGAGGAUUGGAUUGAUUUUGUAAGGAUUAUUUUUCUUUUUUAUUAUAUGAUCUCGUAGUCCAUUUUCUAGAUAGUUAAUGACUUAUCAUCAUUCUUCUUUCAAAAAAAUAUACUAGCUCAUUUUCUCUAUCCGUUUUUAUUAGAAUAUAAUGUUAUUUCUUAAAAUAUUUAUCACCAAUUAGUUUGUGGUAAAAGAGUUUUUACUUAUUAAUCAUCUAUGCGUCUAUAAAAUUGUGUUUUUAGUUCAUCAUAGUUCAUCCCAAAAAUCUUAUAAAUACAGCACAAAGAGAAGAGUUUAUAGGUAAAGAAAAAGAAACCUAAUUAAGCCCAUAAACUAAACGAUCUUGACUUUAAACCAUCGUUAUUCGUCAAGAAACCUGAAUUACAAUGAAUGGAGGUAUUCUGCUAAUUUUUCUUUGAAUUUGUGUCAUGUGAUUAAACAUGUUGCCUAAAAGAUUUUAGGAUUCAUACAAAUUACACUUACAGAUUUUGCUGAUUUGGACGAUGGUUAGUGUUGGUUGCUAAGCAACAUAGUAGUAUUAUGUAAUGAAACAUUACAUGAACUGGUGUUCGGUAUUAAAUUACCACUCCCACUUAGAUAUAAAAUUUAGCCGUUAAUGGUGAUCGCAAAAGGCUUAUACGUACGUACGAAGUUGUAAACAAAUAUAAGUAAGCAUAAAAUUAAAGAGAGAGGGAGAGGCGUAGUACGUACGUAGCUAUAUGAUGUGGACGAUUGAUUAAGAUGUACGUAUGCUAAAAACAAUAUACACGGCCAUGUGAUACUUGUACAACUUGUGCCUCGCUACAUAUAUACGAUUCCAACCUUCGAAAUUUAAAUUGUUUACACUUAUAACCAUCCUUCACACUAGCAAUCACUCUACACCAACAACUCCAACUAAAUUCUCUCUCUCUCUCUCUCNNNNNNNNNNNNNNNNNNNNNNNNNNNNNNNNNNNNNNNNNNNNNNNNNNNNNNNNNNNNNNNNNNNNNNNNNNNNNNNNNNNNNNNNNNNNNNNNNNNNNNNNNNNNNNNNNNNNNNNNNNNNNNNNNNNNNNNNNNNNNNNNNNNNNNNNNNNNNNNNNNNNNNNNNNNNNNNNNNNNNNNNNNNNNNNNNNNNNNNNNNNNNNNNNNNNNNNNNNNNNNNNNNNNNNNNNNNNNNNNNNNNNNNNNNNNNNNNNNNNNNNNNNNNNNNNNNNNNNNNNNNNNNNNNNNNNNNNNNNNNNNNNNNNNNNNNNNNNNNNNNNNNNNNNNNNNNNNNNNNNNNNNNNNNNNNNNNNNNNNNNNNNNNNNNNNNNNNNNNNNNNNNNNNNNNNNNNNNNNNNNNNNNNNNNNNNNNNNNNNNNNNNNNNNNNNNNNNNNNNNNNNNNNNNNNNNNNNNNNNNNNNNNNNNNNNNNNNNNNNNNNNNNNNNNNNNNNNNNNNNNNNNNNNNNNNNNNNNNNNNNNNNNNNNNNNNNNNNNNNNNNNNNNNNNNNNNNNNNNNNNNNNNNNNNNNNNNNNNNNNNNNNNNNNNNNNNNNNNNNNNNNNNNNNNNNNNNNNNNNNNNNNNNNNNNNNNNNNNNNNNNNNNNNNNNNNNNNNNNNNNNNNNNNNNNNNNNNNNNNNNNNNNNNNNNNNNNNNNNNNNNNNNNNNNNNNNNNNNNNNNNNNNNNNNNNNNNNNNNNNNNNNNNNNNNNNNNNNNNNNNNNNNNNNNNNNNNNNNNNNNNNNNNNNNNNNNNNNNNNNNNNNNNNNNNNNNNNNNNNNNNNNNNNNNNNNNNNNNNNNNNNNNNNNNNNNNNNNNNNNNNNNNNNNNNCUACUACUCUCUCUCUCUCUCUACUCUCCUCUCUCUCUCUCUCUCUCUCUCUCUCUCUCUCUCUCUCUCUCUCUCUCUCUCUCUAUAAUAGAAUAGCGAGGACGUCAAAUGUAAUAAGAGUAAGAACAAGUACAGCCCUUUUCAUCCACCAAAAUUUAACCUAUGUAUAUAAAUAUACAACAUAUUAUAACCAUUUACCAAACAUCCAUCAUACAUAUAUUACUCAUCAUCAAGUUCCUAUUUUCUCUCUGACAAAAAACACAGAGUAAGUAAGAAUGGUACAGACGAAGAAGUUCAGAGGUGUCAGGCAACGCCAUUGGGGUUCUUGGGUUGCUGAGAUUCGCCACCCUCUCUUGUACCUUUCUUCUUUCUUUCCUUUUUUUCUGCGUUAUACAUUUAUUUCUCCUCUCUGAUCCUUUCAAGUACAUAACCACAUACGUAUAUAUAUAUUUACAUGAUCGUUCCCCAUAGUUUUCUUUCCUCUCCUUAGCUAACACAUCAACCCCAAUUUUGACAUCUCUACAAUUUUAUAUUUCUUAGUUGACUAUAUAUAUAAACCAUGCUUAAUUAGUUAUUAAAUUUUGACAUGCAUGAUGAUUUUGAAAAAGGAAACGGAGGAUUUGGCUGGGAACGUUCGAGACUGCGGAAGAGGCAGCAAGAGCCUACGACGAGGCCGCUGUUUUAAUGAGCGGCCGCAACGCCAAGACCAACUUCCCCCUCACAAACAACAACAGCAACAACACCGGAGACACAGCCGAGGGCAAAACAGAUAUUUCAUCUUCGUCCUCUAUAUCUUCAUCAUCUUCAUCGCUCUCUACCAUCCUCAGCGCCAAACUGAGGAAAUGCUGCAAAUCCCCAUCCCCUUCCCUCACCUGCCUCCGUCUCGACACGGCCAGCUCCCACAUCGGAGUCUGGCAGAAACGAGCCGGUUCCAAGUCCGACUCUAGUUGGGUCAUGACUGUCGAGCUCGGUUCCGCUAGCUCCUCCCGAGAGACUACUAGCAAAGCUCCUCAAGAAGAUCUUGGUCCAACCACUGAGCUUGAGGUUGAGGUUGAGGUUGGUGGCGGCGGAGAAGAAGGGUUAAUAGAUGAGGAGGAGAAGGUUGCUUUGCAAAUGAUAGAGGAGCUUCUCAAUACAAACUAAAUAUGGUUUGCUUAUUACAUAUGCACCUGUUUUUAUUUCUGGAUUAUAGCCACAAUAAUACCAAGUAUACCGUAUAUUUUAUUUAUAUAUCGUAUUCAAAUGUUUUAGCUUAUAUUGCUUGUUUCCUCAUAUUUCCACAUUUGUAUCCAAUAAAGUAUUAGUAUUUGUAACUACAAUCCAGAAGUGACCUUUUUAUUUUUGUAUUUUCUAUAACAUUAGGCUUAUAAUUGCACUCGUAUAAUGAUAACAAAAUAAAAUAAUGUUACAUGGUAGUACACGAUCAUAAGUCGAUUACAAGGACGUGAAAUUAUAGCAAAGCUUCUAACGAAGGCGACUUUGUCUCCUGAUUAAAUGAGACUGGUCGUCAAAGAAAAAAAAAACACUAACAGUUUCUAAUGUAACUACGAGAUCAUCGACGACACUACCGUUUAAUUUGCCUAAUUAUUCGAACAAAAAACAAUUCUCUAAAGGACGUUGAAUCGUGAUAUUCAAUUCGGGAAAGAACAAAAUAAUCGAGUUAACUUAUACGUUUUCAUCAACCAAAUCAUAAUUCUUAUGUAAAUGCAUUAAUUCUGUAUGUAGAUAAACUGAGUAAGUAAGUGAAACAAGCCACAUCUAAACACCGCCUUGAUUUGAUUGAGUUAUAUAUGCUCACUCGUUGUUUAGAAUAAACAACUAAUAAUAAACCAGGGAAAUUAAAUAGUUGGUGAAAUUAGGUUUGUAAUAUAUCAUGCAUCCCCACAAAACACAUGCAUUCAAAAUUUGUUCUUUUGAGUGAGACUGGUUUUAAAUUUUACUUUGCACGCAUGAUGAGACUAGACUACAAGUCUACUACAACAUUAUUGAAUACAACUCACACAAUACAUUCCCAGGAAUCCUCGCAACAGAAUCUUGUAAAUUGCCGUAAUUAAGCUUCAAUGAAUAUAUGUGUUACUAUAAUAGCCAGCUUAAUAAUUCAAUAGGAAUGCAAAAAACAAAUGUGUUUAUGUUUGUGAGUUAGACCAUUAUUGAACCUUCAUUAAUUCUGUGGUAUACUUGGAAUACUAUACCGAGGAUUGAAAAGUUAAUAAUUCUGCUAUAUAUAGAGAAGAUAUAUCGAUAUAUGCAAGAGUUGAAAGGAAGAUAGUUAGUUAGAAAAACAAAAAAAGAAACGACUACUCUAGUCCUCUACAAAACGUACUUUGUCUAACCAAGAGGGGAAGGUGCAUUAAUUUUAACACCAAAAGUAUUAUAUAUUAUUGAUCAUGCAUAGACGUAUCUAUCAUUUCUGUUUCUGUAUUUUGUAUAUAAAUCAUCAAUCGCUCACCACCAUGUAAUUAUCAUUCGAAUAUAAAAAUAUAUAUCAACGUCUAAUUGUGACGUUUUGCAUCAACAAUAUGAUCAGUGAGUGAAUCCUUAAACCUCCCAAAUCAACCAUUUGUAUUUUUGUCCACCAAAUUUUGUACGAUUUAUAAACAUAUGCAAAAAAAAAAAAAAUUCCAAAAGUGUUGUAACACAAACGUGACACCAAAAAAAAAUAUAAACAGAAAUAGCGAGAGGGCUUAUGUAUAUAAAGUUUAUAAACUAAUACAUCUCAGUUAACUUCAUCAUCAUCACACAUUAAAAAUAAAAUAAGGAAAAGGGUCGAAGUGUUUAAUAAUGAAGAAUGAAUAAAACAGUCAGGAAAGAGUACUACGAUAUAUACCGAAGGUGAAGUGCAAAACGAAUUAGGUUAAAGAAGAGCUCCAACUUUCACUUCCACAGUAGCUUGUUUGUACUUGUUUGUGCUCAUCUUUAUGACUUGUCCUCUUUUACUGUAACUUGCACUUAAACCAUUCACACUAAUAUUAUACUAGAUUAUACAACUUCUCCUUAGUUUUAUUUAUUACAGAAUCUAUAAAAUAUAAAACAUUAUGCAAGUUGUAAAAAAAGAGGGAGAAAAUGAAAUAAUGAAGGUAACAAGAAUGAAAAAGAUGGUCUCUACUUUCUCUUGAUAGAUUUGGAACAAUGACACAUUUCCCUUAUACUCUACAUUGAUGCUGACCUUUCCUUUUUUUCAACUAUCAACAUCUUCUCUUCCCCAAUCUUAACCCUAACUUGUAAAGGUAUCUCUAUCUACAUCCACUUAAUGUAGUAUUUUCUUUAUUUUUAUACCAUCUUACUAAGGAAAAAAACAAGAAAAAAAUAUCCAUUGAACAGAGUUGGGCUAUUUACAAAAUGGGAGGUAAUGAAGGAAGAAGACCCAAUAAUGAAAAGGCUAGAGGACUUUGUCAGUGAGUGAAAGCCAUAGUUAGAAAGAGAAGGUUCGAACUAGUAUAAUUACUAAAAGGUCCCUUUGUUGUUUUUAAUUGAGUAAAUUGCCAAAAGUUAAAAGAGAAGCGAAUAUGUCAGAGGUAGAGGAGGAGAAGUAGAAGAAUCGAUACAAGACGAGGAAAGGGCUAAACAAAGGAAAUCGAAGGAAGAAGAUUUGAGAGGAAGAUCAUGAUCCUAGCAGUGUUGUUCGCCAACUCCGUUGGGAACGUUUUGAUCGAAAGGUUAGUUCGCUCGCUCGCUCUUCAGAUCCCAAUCUUAUCAUCCAUUUCCGCAGCUUGUACCAUUUUUUCAAUUUGAUCGGAAAUAUUCUUCGGCUGAUUUCUAAUUUUAGGUUACGAAUCGAGCAUUGCUGUAGCGAUUGAUAUUCUUAGUGGAUCUGGUGUCGAUCGUGGUUUUGACAUAGUUCAUCAAUUGUCCAGAUUUAGGGAUAUUUUAGCUUUCACUUGAUGUUGCUUUGGUCGUACGCAGUGUCUCUAUUGGUAGAAAAUUAGAUUUCAAUUCCCCUAUGUACACAAUAGCAACAUAUGAAUUUGUUUCUAUUAUCCCAAAUCUGUAUUCUGAUAAGUAUGUCGUUGUGCUCUCUCAUCUGAAAAGCACACUUGUGGACUUUAGUUUUCAGCAAGUAGAGAGUUCAAAUUGAUAUUUCAUUUAGGGUGUCUAAACACUAGUACAUGUAGAGUGGUUGUAUUAGUAGCAAAUAAUCAGAAGCCUUCAAAAUCUCUUCUAGGUUCAAUGGAGUACCAGCUGAGGAACGGCUGCACUGGCGAACUUUCUUGGUUAAGUUGGGAGCAGAUAAUCUCAAAGGCGUUAAAAACGAAGAGCUUCUUGUCGCUUGCCACAAGUAGUAACAUCAAACUGCCUAUAGUCUCCCUGUGGCAUUUUCUAGCAAAUUACUUAACCAAACAAACAUCAUUUGGGUUUUUAAGUAAUAGCGAGUUUUGCUGUGCAGGUCUGUUUAUAUCGUCUACACUAUGCUAGGAGAUGUUAGCAUCUUCCUUGUUGGCAAAGACGAGUACGAUGAACUUGCUUGUGAGCCUUUCUCUCUCCCCCCCCCCCCUUUGUGUAAAUCAACUGAUUUUUGCUUCACUCAGAGUUUGAUUCUCUGCUGUUUUUAAUUUAUCCUAUUCUCUAUUUGUGUGGUGGUGCAGUGGCAGAAACCAUCUAUAUCAUAACAGCCGCUGUGAAAGACGUAUGCGGAAAACCCCCAACAGAGCGAGUGUUUCUGGAUAAAUAUGGAAGGAUUUGUUUGUGUCUUGAUGAAAUCGUUUGGAACGGACUUCUGGAGAACACUGACAAAGACAGGAUCAAGCGACUCAUUAGAUUGAAACCUCCUUCUGAAUAUUGAUUUCGUCCAACCCAAACCACACAUUCUUCGUUUACAAUUUCUCGUCAUCCGCAGUAUGUUUGUUUGUUGUUGAAUCACUUCUCUAUAUCAAAAAAAUUAAACUAUUGGUCUUGUCCUAUCAGUCCAUUAUCUAGUGUUACAUUGUUUGUAGUGUUGUUGAAGACCUAAAGAAAUGGUUUGUGUAAUUUGGGGCAUGUGAACAUAACAACUUAAUACUCAGAGGUGUUCAGUGAAGUGACUUUAUCGAGUAGUUGCUUAUAUCCGGCGGUUGUUGCUUCGUGCUAAAGAAGAAGAAAAAUAGAACUAUAGAAGGAUUGCCGGAUUGCGACUUUUUCUAACCAAUCAUAGUCAUAACGAAACAAAGGUACCAACAAAAAUUAAAGCCCUUACCAUUAAUAAUGGGCCUACCCCUUUCAUUCCCAAUGGGCCUACCAAUUGUUAGUUGAGAAACGUGUAUUAUGUGGUAUGCAACUAUGCAUCCUAUGUACUACUCAACUGUUUGGUCCAAUUUUGUGGUUGAAACAAAAGAUAUUUUAAAUCGAAUUAGAAAAUGUGAAAGAGAAAGAAUUUAAAAUGGAUUUAUUAAACCUUUUGAGUUGGAUUCCAGAUUAGUUUAUUUAUAUCGAGUUAUCGACACUUGGACAAGAGAAAAGGCUAUAUAGGUGAAAAGUAAAAGUCCAAAAGUAAAAUAAAAAAAAACUGACCAUCGUGGAUGUUUGGUAGUAAGUGACAAAUCUACUACACUCACUGAAAAUAUAAUAUUAAUAUUAAGCAGACUUUAUAGCUAUUUCAGCAGAUUAUAUAUAGUAGGGAAUUAACGUAACACUCAUGCUUUAUGGGGCAUGUACCUAUAAAAAUGAAAUCAUAAGAUCAUGCGAGAUUAGGUGGAACGUAACACUCAUGCUAAUAUUCAAGAAAUUAAUCUCCUUAUAUAAGCAUAAAUGAGUUACACGUUAAACAAAGAAGCCAAGCUACCCGACAAACUAAAAUAGAAAUCUAUAAUCAAAGAGACCUAAUAUUAUCAUUCAAUCUUUGCUGAAAAACAAAAGGUUUAUAUAUUACAUCCAAAAAAGGAUGUUAAUUUUACAUUUUUUAAUUUUAAUUUGUAUCAUAUAUUCUCUUCAAAGAUAUAUAAAAAUAUUACAGUCUGCCAAUUACUUUGGUGAAGAGUAAGUUUUUGAAAGUUACAAGUCUACAACUAAUGGUGAUGAUAUAGGACGUGGUGGUCGUGGAAAUAUAGAUUUUAAUAGUUUCAUCUAAUUAGAUGUACAUUUACAAUUUCUAUGUAUCACAUGGAAAAUGCAACAUGGCUAAAAAACUAUAUAUAAAAAAAAAUCAUACCAAAUCACCAAUACAAUAUACCCCCUAACUUUAUGGAAAUUAAAAAACAUAUCUAAAGAAUAUUUCAAAAAAUAGCUUAAAAAAAAAAAAAAUCAGGUGGGUAAAAUGGGGCUGCCGAAGAAAAAAAAAGAAAAACCAGAGUUGGUGGUAAUUUGGGACAAGGCCAAUUUGAACUGGACACGACAACAAGUGACCAAAAGAGAAACGUUUGAUAAAUCCAUUAAUGCUGACGUGUUCAACAUAAUCUUAAAAACACAUUUUUAGUGUAAAAAGGAGGAGGAGGAGUUAAAAGGAAACAAACGAGGAGUUGUGAAUUUGUGAUUGUCCGAGUCAGCUUUGUUUUUUGGGUUCUUACGUGUUGAACUCAUCCUGAACACUGCCAGGUUCACAACAUUUCACAUAUUUGUUUGGUUUAUAUAUUUGUAUAGUUUAGUUUUGAUUUAAUUAUUUACGUACGUUGUAGAUAAGAUCAUUAAUCAAAGGGAUCUCCUUUAUUCUAUUGACUACAUGUUCUUUUUUUCCCGUUGCUUUACCAAGUUUUGUUUUACACUACUACUGUUAAUUUUGUUUACCUUAUACUAAAUAGACGUCACGUCACAUACUCAACUUGUAAAUGACUUUAUAUAAACCAGUUACGUAAAUACAUGAUCUUAUAGGCCGAAUUUGUUUGGUACGUUCAUGUCAUGAUCUACAUAUAUAUAUAACUAUUCUAAUAUCUGCACAUAUUUUUGAUAGAAAAAAAAUUCCUUAUAAGUUUUCUUUUAAUCAUUUUAAUUUUAAUUAUGAUAUAUUUCUUUUAUUUUUGAAUUGAGACAUUAACAUUGUUAGUUUGAUAGUAUCUCAUAAUUAUCUUUGACAUGAACAAUAAAUUCGAUUGCUUUAUAUUCAUUAUAGUUAGUAGUAGGUGAAUAUUCGGAAUAUAUGAAACAAAAUCUAAUUCAUGUCGUUUUAGUGUUUCAUAAUUCAUACUCUAAUGAUAUUUAAAAUUAAUUAUAACGUCUUAUUAUAAAGUAUUAUAAACACACAUAUAUAUAUAUAUAUAUAAAUAAAAUAAAUAAAUUGGUUUUAUAAAGACAUGAAUAACAUAAUAUCAAUAUAAUUUUAACUUUCAUUGAUAAAUAGAAAUAUAUCAUUUUCAUAAAAGAAAUAUUUAAUAUAUGAUUUUUGUUUUUUUUUUAAACUAAAAUAAUAAAUAUAAUUUAUUAUGUGUCACUGCUGCACAUUUAAUCUUAUAUAUAUCAUAUAGACUGAAAAUAAUUUCUAAAAAAAUCAAUAAGUUUUCUAUUUAGUUAGAGGCCUUCUAUAAAUACACACCAUCAUUGGCCAAGUGUGUUGGAUAUCAGUCAUCAGAUAAGUUCCGUUCCGUGGUUAUCCCAUUAGCCUUUCUCCCACACAAACACAAACACACACACAAACUAUAUUUUAAAUACAUAUUGCACUUCUUCAAUCGUCUCUUUCAAUCAAUCAAUCUCCUCGUUGCUUUGUAUAUUAUUAAUUAACGUCGACAAUAUUAACCAUUGUGUUUGGAUUUGUUUGAUCAGAGGCGGCGUUGCGUGUGUGUUUUUUUCUUCUUCUUCUUCUCUGUCUCUCUCUCUCUCUCUCUAUCUCUCUUGGGAAAAUGAAGGAAAACGCAGGAAACCCAUUGCACCUGACUUCACUAAACCACGUCUCGCUCUUGUGCCGAUCCGUUGAUGAGUCUAUGAAUUUUUACCACAAGGUGUUAGGUUUCAUCCCGAUCAGAAGACCUGAAUCCUUAAAUUUUGAAGGAGCUUGGUAAAUAACCUCUCUUAUUAGUUGUCACAUCUGAUAUAUAUAUAUCAAAAUAAAAAUAUCAGUUUACAAAAUAAACUCUCUUAUUAGUUGUGUUUCUUUUGUUUGGGUUAUUUAAGGUUGUUUGGUCAUGGAAUUGGAAUACACCUCCUGCGUUCCCCAGAACCAGAGAAACUUCCUAAGAAAACUGCCAUUAAUCCCAAGGAUAAUCACAUUUCUUUCCAGGUUAUUCUCAACUUUGACCCUCUUUUUUUUUUUUUUUUUUUUUUUUUUUUUUUUUUUGUAAUUUUAUACUCCAAAACAUAAGUUAUAUGUGUGCAUACAAAAGCUUUGUUAUUUAUAUGUUGGUUUAAGAAAUUUGUCAACAUUUAUGCAACACACACAAUGUCAGAAAUUUCUUUGUCUGUCAUAAAAGAAAAUCCAAACAGCUGGUUAAAUAUUGAGCUGUUAAGUUCCCAACUAAACCAUAUCAAUGGUAUAGUUUGAUGUGAUUUAUGAUAACUAUCAUUGUAAGAAAAUUGAAUGUAUGAGACAAGAGAGACAGAUAGAAAAGGACGAUAGAUUUAAGGUAGGGCUGGCGUAAAGUUUUGUGAGGUAGACGUAUUCAUUGUUCUAAUUAUUGUAAACAAAACCACGUGCAUGAUGGUUUUAAAGAACCAUCUAAUUAAUCAUUUGGUUUUUAGACUAUACAAGAGGAGCUAGGUUGAUCCACCCAAUAUAUAGUAUUUACUCUGUUUUGGUCUAUAUAUUAUUAGAUGAAUAUUAGUCUGAAAAUUAUGUAUGAGUUGUGGAAUUGUGGAAAUCGCAGUGCGAGAGCAUGGGAGCAGUGGAGAAGAAGCUAGAGGAUAUGGAGAUCGAGUAUGUGAGGUCGCUAGUAGAAGAAGGUGGGAUCCAAGUGGACCAGCUCUUCUUCCAUGACCCUGAUGGCUUCAUGAUCGAGAUCUGCAACUGUGACAGCCUCCCCGUUGUGCCCCUCGUAGGAGGAAUGGCUCGGUCCUGCUCAAGAGUCAAACUCCACCAGAUGGUGCAGCCACAACCGCAGACUCAUGUCCACCAAGUGGUCCACCCUUAGGCCUCUCUCUUUUGUUUGUGUGUGUAUCAUUGUGUGCUUGAAUAUUUGAGUGUAAUCAAUAAGAGACCGAUGUGAAUCAGCGAAUGUGAUUCCCCUCGAGGAAAUGACCAUUCUCUUUUGCUCCACAUGCUAUAUAAUAUUAUCAAGGGAAAUAAUAUUUACAUACAUGUGUAUUGGUUGAUUUAUUUGCAAUUCGAAUUAACACUUUUGUUUUGUGCAAUGGAACUAAAGAGACUACCAUCUCUCAAGAAAUCUCAAAGUUAAACUUAUAUGUUAGGAAUCCGAAUCUCACAUCUUCUUAAUUUGAACGGCCAAACAAAAAAAAGGCUUGAAUGUAAAGAGCCUUUCCAAGCUAGUUCGUAUAGAGGUGUUCGCAAGACAUGUUUGGCUCGACAAAACUCCUCUAGAUAGGACCACGCGCAUUCCCUUUGGUUUGGAAGUCACAAACUCGGAAUUGAGAACAUUCAUAUGUAUAUUUGCCAAGGCACCUUACAUUCAUUAUAUUGUUAUUAAAAAAGGACCAUAAUGUUACCAAAAAACGAAGAAUGCCACCUCUAAAAGCAAGAAGAUCUAAAGUAAUUUAUGAAAGCCAUAUGCAUAUAUAAAAGAAAGAAAUAAUAGAAUUAAUUAAUACAUAUAUGUAUAUUUCGAUAAAGUAGUGUUAAGGGCCUCGUGAGAGCAUGUUUUCGAUGGAUUCAAGACGCUGGAGAAGAAGCUGGUUUCUGAACUUUGAGAUAAAAGCUUCGGCGCACUUGUCCACGUCCAUCGAUGCCUUCCUCUCAACCUUCUUAUUCCUAGUGUCUGCAGUUAUAACAAUGUUAGUGGUUCCAUUACCACUCUCUUUUGCGGAACUCAUCAUCAUCUUCAUGUUGUUGUUUUUGUUGCUCAUGGUGGAUGUAUAUGUUUGUCUAUACAUAGGAGUGCUUGUGUUUCCUGGUGAUGAAUUGUUAGAUAUGUUGGAGAUAAUCCGAUCGAGACCUAUGUAUUUAUAGGGGAUUUUUUUAUACACAUAAAAAAUAUAUAUUUUUAUUUAAAAGAAUAAGAUUUGAAGGAAACGAGGAUAAGACUUUUUCUCUUUACGGAAACCAUAUUUGAAUGUUGAAGGAAUAAUGGAAUCUUGAAUCUCAAGUUACAUACGCGACUGAGCCAGACGCAUGCAUUAUCUAGAAAGCACCGCCUCUACUUUAAAUUUUAUUCAAAUGUAUUCUCUGCAAAAAUUACAAAUCUUUAAUUUUUACCUCCUCCUGCAUGAAACAUAUAUGUUGUACAAAAUAAAUGGGAAAUUAGUUAGAUUUUAAAUAAAGAUAAAUAUACAUUGGCAUUUAAUUAAUUAAUUAUUUUUAAUUGUUGGAAAUAAUAAUAUAUAUUAUGGAAUCUAAUCUUGUACGUUGUGCUUAAAAGAAAUGUAAAAAAGGUUGCCUAACUUACAUAUUGAAUUUGACUUGUUACAUUUGGAGAAACUAAGGAAGAAAGAUUCCAAAAAUCUUAUAUGUAAUUUGACCAUUUUUCAGCAAACAAAUAAAUUUGACUUUGUUUAUUAAUAAUUUCUUAUAAGACACCACGCAUGGAUUACGGCUUAAUUAAGCAUUGGAGAUUUAACCUCGUCAGUUAACUCACCGUCCACUCUAUCCAUUGUCGCCGCUCCGGUAACCCGUACUUCUUUUUUUGCCAAAAAAAACAAUAAAAUAAGAAAGAAGAGGUCAAGUGGUUUAAGUUAAGUUAACAUAUAACCUAACUCCAAACCAAACUUAUGAAUUUGAGGCAGAUUCGUUGAAUCAUAUAAUAUUAUACUAUAUACUAGAAUAUUGGUUUAAACAUCAAAGGCAACGUUACUAUUUGAUCAUGAACCCUUGCUGUCUAUAACCAAAUACCAAUCCAUUACUUUUACACAUUUACAAGUAAAUCACUAGUUUAUGAUCAUAUAUUGGUGACUCAAAUUUGAUUAUAUUAUUUAUAAUUACGUACGUAGUUGGUCUGUGGUGGAUUUCUCCGUAUUACAUCACUAACGCAUAUAUAAUUACGCACGGGUAAGAUAGUGUUUUGGUGGUUUAUGCAUAAACAUAUAAUCUAUACUUUAUAUUACAUAAAACGACAUUUGAAAUCAUAUUUUUAAGACAAAAGUAUUAUUUAUAUACAAAUCUCUAUAUAGAUAAUUCCAGGGUUUUCAUUAUAGUACUGAUAAUUUGGCAGUAACAUCACUAACAUAUAUAUUAUAAUUUCACGAGUCACUCACGAGUAAGAUAGUGUUACUGUGUGUUAUGGUGGUUGAUGCAUAGAUAGAUGAUUUAUACUUUUGUAUAAUAAGAAACAACGACAUUUGAAAUCAUAUUUUAUGACAAAAGUAUUCUUUGAAUAAAAAUCUCUAUACAGGUAAGGUCAUUCCAGUGUUUGCAUUACAGUACUGAUUUGGCAGAAAUGGAACUUUUGAAACACAAUUAUGUUUCUUGUUUCUUAAAAAGGAAUGCAGAAUCAAAAGAAACAGAUUAAUACAAGGUAUUCAGUUGCAAAAAAACUCUAAAGUAGAUCAAUACUUGUUAAUACGAACCAACUUCGGAUUGGACAUACUUAAGCAAGAAAACAUAACUAACUAGGAAGGUCUGUAGUUAUGCCAAGAAACAGAGAGAGAUUGGUCCAUCAAAGUUGACCCUAUAAGUAUCUUUCGGCCUGCUCAGCUAAUGGGCCUAAAGAGCGAUAAUAGGCCGAAAGAGCAGUGAUAGGCCCAAAGAGACAUAUUUCAAAGAAAUGACCGAUGAUGAGACUCCACCGAGAACAAGCGCCGGCAAUGGAAACCCUUUUCAGAGUCUCACUUCGUCUACUUCCGGUUUCCGCCGCCGUGACAUGUCGCAGGAUCCGAUUCCCCGUUACGAGACCCAAUUCCUCAUACUUGCUGAACCGUAAGCUGAAUAAUCUGCCUUCCUCUUCCUCAUCAUCUUUGUCGACAAAAGCCGGUUGGUUACUGGGUCUGGGGGAGAAGAAGAAGAAAGUGGAAUUGCCGGAGAUAGUGGGAGCUGGAGACCCGGUUCUGCACGAGAAAGCCCGAGAAGUUGACCCGGAAGAAAUCGGGUCAGAGCGUAUUCAGAAGAUAAUUGAUGAUAUGAUUAAAGUUAUGAGAUUGGCUCCAGGAGUUGGCCUCGCUGCUCCUCAGAUUGGUGUUCCCUUAAGGGUAAAGCCUAACUGCUUUACUUAAUUCACCCUUCUUGUUAAGGCAAACACGAAUUGAAUUGGUUGCUUCAUAUUUCAUGGUGUGAUGCAGAUUAUUGUGUUGGAAGAUACAAAAGAGUAUAUAAGCUACGCACCAAAGGAUGAGAUUCUUGCUCAAGAUAGGCGUCCCUUUGAUCUCACGGUAAAUAGUGGUAGUCUUUAGACUGCUCUGAGUUGUUACAAUAGAGAUCAAAACGAGAAAAAUGUUGAAACUUUGGUGGGUUUGGUUAGGUGAUGGUGAAUCCGGUGCUCAAGGAGAGCAGCAACAAAAAAGCUCUCUUCUUUGAAGGAUGUUUGAGUGUUGAUGGAUUCAGAGCUGCGGUGGAGAGAUACCUUGAGGUGGUCGUGACAGGCUACGAUCGUCAAGGGAAGCGGAUUGAAGUGAAUGCUUCAGGUUGGCAAGCUAGGAUUUUGCAACAUGAGUGUGAUCAUUUGGAUGGUAAUCUUUAUGUUGAUAAGAUGGUACCACGCACUUUUAGGACUGUCGACAACUUGGACUUGCCUCUAGCUGAAGGUUGUCCUAAACUCGGCCCUCAAUGACACUGUCUUCAAGAGAAGUUGUACUCUUAUCUUUUGAUUCUUUACUGAAACUCUCAAAGAUUGAGCUUGACUCGAAUAAUUUUCAAAGGUGAAACUUUGUCGGAAAAGAGAGUUCUUUUUUUUUGUUCUCUUUUCUUAAAAGUUUAGUAACGGAUUAAAGAAGAAUUUCAUUUAAGAAAAUAUUAUAGUACAAUAAAAGCCAGCCUAUCUAUAAAUGGUAAUGUGAUGUCUUGCUGAUCCGGACAUGACACGGUGGCGAAGGCGUGAAUUGCGGCGGUGAAAUGGCCCUCCUCCUCGGCGGGUCCAGUAAAAAUACAUAAUUAGAGAGGCCAAGACUAACAUUAAAUCAAAUCAAUCAACUUAAUCAGAGCCGUCCGUUAUCCAAUCAAUGGAGCAGAUUGAGAUAUCUGUUCAAAGCGAAGAAAGCAUCGAACUUUAUCUUCGUUUACGAUCCGCCGCCUUCUCUGUCAGAUUCGAAGCCUUGUUAAGAAGAAGAUUCAGUGAGCCAUCGGAAGGGACUUGAAGCUGUUUGGAUUCCUUCAUAGAUAAAGUUGUAAUUUUUUUGUUUUCUCGCAGAAGAGAAGAAGGAAAUAAUUGUGGAUCACCAAAUCGGAAAGUUUUGAUAUAUACAGAAAUGGAAAUUGUCGGAAAAGAAAGAAAGAGAGAUAGUAAUUUACAACAAACCAAAGUCUGUUUUGAUCAAAUCGGAAAGUUUUAUAACAGAGCAGCACACACAACAUACAAAAACAAAAUAAAAAAAAAACAAAAGAAGAAUCAAAGAGCACGAGUGUAUACUAGUAUGUUUUUCUUUCUCUUGAGUUGAUUAAAUCCUGAUGCCUACCUCCAUCGAUCUACGUUUCGGCGGCCUUUUCCUUGGAUUAACCUUCUUCCCCGG
rnacentral:lncRNA from 1 species